AUGCAAUAUAUUCAGUGUCAACUUUAUAUAAUUUCACAUCUACUUGAGCCAUAAUAAGUUGAUUUGGCCAAGUUAUAAAUGUGUAUCGCAUUUCAAAUCUUUUUUCAUAUCUACUUUUGUUUUGAAGCUCCUUCUCUCCCAAGUCCCAUCCUUCUCCACCUCUCUACUUUUUCUCCCUCUUUUUUCUUCUUAUUUGUCUGCCUUCUCAAAUAAGCUUUAGUGGAGAUUCAUCAGUUCAUGGAUAUUGAUCUCCUCUGGGCUCUUGGGGGGGAUAAAUAUUACUGGCUAAUUAUUUUUCUUCUUUUUCCGAUAAUUAUUUCGAGAUUUUAUACUCAUUCUCCCUGCAGCUUGCAUGGCACUCACUACAAAGAACUCGCGUAAUUUUGACAGAAAAUUUCUGGAGGUUUCCACUUCAACAUUUUCCGAAAAAUCUACUAAACCAAACCAUCAUCUCCAUAUCCUCAUCUUCACUGUCCUUUCCAUCUUGUUGAUCCUCUUUUGUGCGGUAUCGAUAUCAUCAGAUGAUUCAUCAGCUAGGGCUGCUUCAAUGAUAAUUCCGAUAUCUAGGAGGCAGCUUCUUUCUUCAACAAUGAAUAGUUUCAAUACUAAAAAGGUGAAUGGUGAUAAAUCUACUGAUCUACCAGCUUCGAAGAGCAACCGAAAAGCCAAAUUCGAAGGAGAUGCUCAUGAAGUUCCUAGCGGACCAAACCCUAUCUCCAACAGGUAAACAGACAGAUAAAUAAGCGUAAGGAGGAUAAUUUGGUUGCACUGCAGGCUUUGAGGCUGCGUUAUAAAUGUGCUCCCAACAGAUAUCAUUUAUGGCGAUCAUCAUCGAUUACCAAGCUUGUCCUUAUAAGUUAGGAGUUUGUUAUCUUUGUUUCAUAUGGUUGGCAUCAGCUUUAAUUUUCUUCUCUCUUUUUUUUCCUUCUAGAAAUGUAUACAAAAGAUACUCUAUUUAAAUUUAUAUAUUUUAUUUGUGUAACCAUCUUUAUGUAGAUGAUGAUCCUGGUGGAGGUGUUAUAUAUUUAUUAUGUAGAGUUCUGGGACUUAUGGCUGAUCGAUAAUUUUCCGCAUAUAUAAUUUUUUUUAAUAAUAUGCUUAAUAUUUGUUUCACAUUUAUGUGUGUUGUUCUCUGUGAUUCUUGCAGUAUGUUGGAUCACACUCAUUUAAAAAACAUUUCUUGGUAUUUAUUCGUGAUAAGUAUGCUGUAAUAAUUAUCCGUCGGGUUCGAUUCGAACCUGGUACCAUGAUAACGAGGAACAAAUGGUAUAGUAUGAAGUUGAGAGAGAGGGGAAGGAAUAUAUGUGAUGAAAAACAGCUAGCAAUGUAGGGGCAGCUGUGAGUAAGAUGCUGAUCAGAUCUGAUAUUGCUGGUGUAAUAGUGAAAAAGGGAAAGUCCCUAGCUUUAACUUUGUAUUUCCUCCGUUUCAAAAUAGUUGUCCGAUCUGAUUUUUGCACUCCUAUUUCAAAGUAUACAGAAUAACUUCACAGAUCAUUUUUUAAAAUUCCUUUUCCCUUAAACAUCUUUUAAAAAAUAAUAAUUAAUAAAAUUAUCCGAUCAAUACAUCUUAAAAUACGUGUAUAAAAUCAUGAGUUGGACCUAGAUAUCUUGUACUGCAACCAACAUUAUUUGAAAUUCCUCUGAUGGCCUUUUACUUUAAAUUUGUCCUCACAAUCAAGCGCGGCUCCCAAUAAAGCUGAUGAAAAUCAAACAUAUUGAAUUGAUAAUAAUCAUGAUUCUAUGAUUUCAUAACAAUAGUGUAACAAACAGUAACUGUUUAGUUCCCUGUUAUUGAACAAUCAUGCAUUUUCACUUAGCUUCAUCAUUGUGUUUUUCUUCUGUUCAUGUUUUUUGGUUUCUUGCAGCAAAUGGAGUCUCUGCUAACUCAUCUGUCAACACUUAGUGCGUGUAUUUAUAUGUCUCCUCAUUCACGUAUUUAUUUACAUGUUAUACUCCCUCCGUCCCAGAUUACAUGAAAAGUCCGAUAACAAAAAUCUUAUGAGCGGUUUAAACAAAAUUUCUUGAGUAAUCAGAUGGGAAAACUAGUCAAGUAAGCUUGUUGGAGAUAGUUAUAGAUCAGAAGAAUCAAUAUCUGCUCAUUAGCAGAACUCUUUCUGAAACAUACAAGUUCGGAAAUGGGAAUCAGGAAUGGACUUUUUUUUUUUUUUUUUGAAUAAAAUCGAACUUGCAUUAGAUAAUAGAAUCUAGCUCCAACGAGUGAACAAUGAGAUUAGGAGGAGUGACAACCCACUCUCCUACGUCUGCCUACGUCUGUCAUAGAAUAAGCAGCCUGUGCUAGGACGUGGGCUACAUUAUUCGCAGAACGAAAAGCAAAACGAAAUAGCACUUGAUUUAUGUGCUUACUUAAACCAAUACAAUCAGUGACAAUUGUGUCAAACAAAGAAUUCCCCGGGCUGCCAUUGCAAGUAGCAGCUAAUGCGUAGCAAUCAGUUUCAAACUCACUCUUCUGGUAGCCUUUCUUUAUAACCCAGGCCAAAGCUUCUUUAAGGGCCAAGGCCUCAGCUUCCCGCGGAUUCCAUUUACCUGGAAGUUUCAGAACAUGAGCUGCAACAAAGCCCCCUUGAUCAUCUCUGACUACUGCUGCGACUCCAAUUCCACCAAGCAUGAACACUGCUGCGUCAACAUUUACUUUAAACCAUCCCAUUGACGGCUUCGACCACACCCUGUCCCCAUUCACUCCUGUAACUGACAUACUCCCUUCUCUCGCCUGCACCUCUGUCCAUUCUCGAAUUAAGCCCUUGGCUGUGUUCCACACCCCAAAAAUAGAACCAUUCGCAUGAUUCCAAACCCAUUUGUUUCGACGGUGCCAUAAGCUCCAGCACAGCAUUGCCACUUCUAAGCACUGAUCUUUAGGUUAAUUUCAUAAUUACUUCAUGGUUAAUACGCAGUCCUGAGUCCUAACAUAUUACAGUAUAGAUGAAAAUCUUCUUUCAGGUCUAAGUGAUUAAGAGUUUAUCCUCUGUCAUCCCAGAUCCUGGGUUCGAUCCUAGCUCAACUCGAGAAUUUCUUAGAACAGGUACUCAUUUGUUGAGGCUAUAAGCCAUAUUAGUCAAAAAAAAAAAAAAAAGAGCACACAAAUUUCCUUAAGCCGGUUCCUGAUUGCGGAUGAGUUGCCUACAAUACUAAACCUGCAGUGUAUUCAUAAAGCUCGACUACGCCACAUAUAAACUAUGAUCCCUGGUUGUCUUAAUGCAUCAGCUUCCUCAAUAGGUAGCAAUCAAGAGAACUCUGCACUGACUGUUUCACUUCUCUUCAACAUAAAUGGCAUCCUUGGCCUUAGUGUCCUAGAUUUUGAUUUUUGUGGUGUCUUGCAGUACUAAGUGCUUGAACUUCGCCUUUAACCAAUAUACUAUACGAAGCUCGCUUAAGUCACCAUAAGCGUCUGGAUACUGCCCUGUCUUGCUCUGCUUACUGGAGUCUACUACCACCCCUAACCACCUUGUUUUCACAUUUGCCGCUUACACCAUUUUUUAUUUUUGGGCUCACUUUAUCCCCCGAACUCCUAAUUAACUACUCUACUAAGAGUCUGUUAUUAAAAUUAAAGAUUAUAAUCUAUAUCAAUCCCCAUAAACUUUUCUGUUUGUAACAGAGGACAUAACUAAUUCAUGACUUAUUCAAGGACGGAACUUAAAACAAAGAUAAUUAGACGGAUAGUAGCUAUCUAAAUUUAUAGAAAAUGAUAGUCAAUCUGUAAGCUAGAACUCAGAAUUUAAAAAAGAACAAUUAUUCAUGUACUGAAAUCACAAUUCACAAGUAAUACCUCCGCAACCAUAUCCAUGAAAAACUUCAUUCAAAAGCAAAAAUAGCUAAUUAGUUGCUUCUCGUACUUCAUUUAAUUGAAAACAAGGCUCUCAGGAGAGCAAAUGACAUAUACUAAACAUAAAUACGCGACAGCCACAGUAAUACCAGAAAUUAGACAGCUAUUGCAUACCAAUUUAUUUUAGAAGCUCAAAUUCUUGAAAACCUUCGGGUGAAACAAGGCUCUCGGUGUACUUAUUUUAGAAGCUCAAAUUCUUGAAAACCUUCGGGUGAAACAAGGCUCUCGGUGUACUUGACAAGUGAACUGAACCAUCCAACAGGAGCGGGUGAAAGAAGCUUCUUGACAUCUUUCUUUUUGUAGUCAUAAAAGAUGUGUCCAUCAUCAGCUUUUGCUACAAAUUGCCCAGCACCCAGAUAAAUAUAUACCCAAUCUAUCUUCACAUCACCCUCAAAAUUGAACUUCUUAGUCCAAGCCACUUUGUCAUCACAAACAUUAUCCAACGUCCAUAGACUAAGACCUGAUCCAUCGACGGCCUUAAAGAUCACUGCAGCAGAACCUUCAAAAUCCAAAACAUCUGAUAUUGGAUACUGCACGUCCUCCGGUAAGGGAUAGUGAUAUGCUCUAAACACCUCUUUAUCCAAAUCAAAUGAUAGUAAUUCAUAAGCACAUUCAAAAUAUAAUACCCCGGUUUUGAGAUCAUGAACACACUUUGAAUUUGUGUAAAGCUCUAUAUUCCCCAGGUCUGCAGGAACUUUGAGCUCUUUGAAAUUACCAGUUUUCAAAGAAUACAUAUCUGCUAUUAGGUCAUCACAAUAAUCAGCUCCAAAUGUUAACCUAAACUCAACUGAAAACCUAAGAAGCUUGUAGUCAUCACAAGUAGAAUCAUAAACAAAUACGAAAUCAAUUGCUUCCCCUCGUCCUUCCGGAAACACACAAAGUUUUUUCAACUGCCUGCUCAAAGGAUUCCAUAAGUACACAACAUUAGCACAUUGUUCAACAAGACAAACAAGACCAUUACAAGAACAUAUCCACCUAACCCAAAGUGUAACAUGGAGCCUGACAGAUUCUUCGAGAGUAUCGAGAUAGAGAUGAUAAAAUUUUCUGUCAAGAAGGACAAGGGUGGCUGGUUUUUUCUGAGAAUUGGUGAGGUGAGUAUCGAUAAAUUGUUGGUCCGAUAUUAUGGAUAGCCAUGACUUGCAAACUGAACGGAACCGGAGCAGUGAUUUCACGGGUAAAUAUGAAAGUAUUUCGAAGAUAAGGUCUUGUGGGAAGUGAUAACUACAACCUGAUGCCAUUGAUCAGGCCAAAUCUUUGGAACUGAAGCUGGAAGAACCAAUACACUUUAUAAAACCCUAAUAUUGGCGAACAAGAUAUUCGUCUAUUAUAAUUUUGAUCGGUCAAAUUGAAUAUACUGAAAUUUACAUUUAUUAUAUAACUGAAAAAAAUUUUAAAAAAUUAUAUCACUAUAAAGUAUAUCUUGUCCACUUAAAUAUACAAUUUUAGAUUUUAAAAAUAAUAAAUUGAUAAUUAAAAAUUGAUCAAACUCCUUAAAAACUAACGGGGUUGUAUUGUAUUGAGAUUUUAAAGCAUUUUUUUUCCAUUUAUGAAAUCCGAAGGUAUUAGAUUGAGAUUGUUUAAAAUCCAUUAAAAUCUUACGUAUUCAAUUAGGAUUUUAAAUUAUAUUACAAAAUAUGGUGGUAUUCAGUUAGGAUUUUAAAUCAUACUUUAAAUAUUCCAAUCGAAUUCAAUUGGGAUUGUUUAAAAUCUAUUAAAAUCUGAUAUUAUUCAAAUGCUUUUUUUUUUGAUCAAAUAUUAUUCAAAUGCUGAUGGAUUUUUUUGGAUUUCAUAAAAUAAUGUCCUCAAUGUUUUUUAAGUUUUUUGAAAUCUCACCAAAAUUCAUGAAAUUUUGAAGCAUUGUGCUUAAAUCUUAUCAACUCUACAACAUUUUAUCAAGAAUCUACACAAAAUCAAAAUCACAUACAAUCUAUUAAAAUUUAUAAACUAAAAAUAAUCCAUUACGCCCCGAUAAAAAUGAACAUAUAAAAGAGACCAUGGGAGUAUAUUCAAGUGAUAUAUCCUUUCCACCUUGCGAAUUUCAUAUUAGUAUUUGAUACAUAAUAAUAGUAAAAGAUAUUUAUGUAUAAUAUUUAAAUAUAAAAUAAAAUUUGUAUAUCGAUGUUUUUUAUUUGUGUAGGUUUUACAAAUAAAAUAUAACUUACUUCUUUAUAUUUAUAAUAAAAUAAAAAUAGGUUUUCUAAAAAUUAAAAUAAAAGCACGUUUCUAAAUUUCAAAUAGAAGUAAAUUUUGUAAUUAAUUACGACUUGAGAUUCUUUAUAUCACGAUAUAAAUACGAAUUUUUAGAGUUUAUUCUAUAAACUUUAAAAUUUUUAAUAUAUAUAAUAUUUAAAUUUGAAAAUAAUUUAUAAUCGUUUUUUAGUUUUUAGAACCAUUGUUUAACAACCAUUUUUUAGGGGCGGAUUGCGAAUUAAAAGAAGAAUCUGAUAAUAAAAAAUUUAUGAACGGUUUAAAGAAAAUUUAUUGAGUUAAAAGAAAUUUUAUUUAUGGUUGAAGGUGAAAUUUUUUUUUGGAUUGUUCCCCGAUGUAUUCCAUUCAAAAUGGGAUCAUACAUUUUAGGCAAGUAAUAUUUUCUAGUCUUAUCAUUACACAAUUUAGUACUUUUUUCGAGUAUAUCUAGAGAAAAAAAUCUGGUAUCUAGAACCUCAAUUCUAUUUAAAAACUCGUUGUUUAAGUUGUUAUUUUUGUGUUGGUUAGUAUAAACCCAAUGAUUGUAUAGUUCAGCUGAAGAGAGUUUUUCUAGUGUGGAGAUAUGUAAAAGAGAUUCUUUCUUUUCCAUCACUUCGGCAUGUAUAAAAAAAAAAUUGUGACAUUUCUUUUCUUGUAGUCCUUUCAAAUCUAUUAUUUUUAUGUAUCGUAAUGGGCGAUUCCAUCGUUUAUAAUUGAUAAGAAAGGUCAGAAGAGGUUUUUCAAACGCCCAUCGUUUAUAACCGAUAAGAAAGGUCAGAAGAGGUUUUUCAAACCAGAAGAGGUGAAAAUAGUUAUAGAUCAGAAGAAUCAGUAUCUGCUCGUUAGCAGAACUCUUUCUGAUACAUAGAGUUCUGGGAAGGGGAAUCGCAAGUAAUACCUCUGCAACCAUAUCCAUGAAAACUUCAUUCAAAUAAAAACAGAGCUAAUUAGUUUUACUUCUCGUCCUGUGAUUAAUUGAACACAAUGCUCUCAGGCAAGCAAAGGACAAAUCCUAUAAAGGAAAAAGCGCAAAAAAGCCAUUAGCAAUACCAGAAAUCAGACCACUAUUGCUUACCAAUUUAUGUUAGAAGCUCAAAUCCUUGAAAUACUUCGAGUGAAACAAGGCUCUCGGUGUACUUGACAACUGAAUUGAACUGUCCAACAGGAGCGGGUGAAAGAAGCUUCUUGACAUCUUUCUUUUUAUAGUCAUAAAAGAUGUGUCCAUCAUCAUUUUUUGCUACAAAUUGCCCAACACCCAAAUGAAGAAAUACACAAUUUAUCUUCACAUCAGCCUCAAUAUUGAACUUCUUAGUCCAAGCCACUUUGUCGUCACAAACAUCAUCCAACGUCCAUAGACUCAGAACUGAUCCAUCGACGGCCUCAAAGACCAUUGCAGCAGAACCUUCAAAAUCCAAAACAUUUGAUUUUGAAUGCUGCACGUGGUCGGGAAAGGGAUAGGGAUAUACUCCAAACACCUCUUUCUCCAAAUCAAAUGAUAUUUAUUCAUCCAUACCUUCAAAAUAUAAUACCCCGGUUUUGAGAUCAUGAAAACAUUUUGAAUUUGUGCGAACCUCUAUAUUCUUUACGUUGUCAGGAACAUUGAUCUCCUUAAAAUUUCCAUUUUUCGAAGAAUACAAAUCUGCUACUAGGCCAUUAGCAAUGUAAUCCCUAUCAGGAGGAUAAUAAUAUGUAUGUAACACACAAAAUGUAAGCCUAAGAAGCUUGUAGUCAUUACAAGUAGAAUCAUAAACAAACAUGAAAGCACUUUCAUCCCAAUCUCCUCGUCCUUUCGGGGAGCAAAGUUUACUCAACUGAUGAUUGGUCCACGGAUUCCAUAAGUACAUAACAUUACCAUACUGUUCCGUAAGACAAACAAUACCAUUACAAGAACACAUCCAACGAGCCCUACCAUUGCGUUGUGGUGGAACAUGGAGCCUGACAGAUUCUUCACGAGUAUCGACAUAGACAUUGUCAAAAUCAUUAUCAAGGACUAGGGUGGCUGGUUUUUUCUGAGAAUUGGUGAGGUGAGUAUCGAUAAAUUGUUGGUCCGAUAUUAUGGAUAGCCAUGACUUGCAAACUGAACGGAACCGGAGCAGUGAUUUCACAGGUAAAUAUGAAAGUAUUUCAAAGAUAAGUUCUUGAGGGAAGUGAUAACUACUUCUUAAUGCCAUUGAUCAAGCCAAAUCUUGAAACUGAAAAUUGAAAGAACCGAUGGACUUUAUAAACCCUAUCUUUAUUUUGAAAUCUUUCCGAAUAUGAUAGAGUAAUCACUUGAGCACAAUUGAUCAAUAUUUUUAAAUUUUGUCCAGUAAGAUAAUCAGUUAAGCAUAAUUAAAGAGAUUCAGUUAUCCGUAUCAAUAUAUAUAUUUUGUGAUCAGGGAGAUUAUAAUACUUUAAGAUCACAAAUAUUUUACUUUAUCUCGAAAAAAUUAAAUAUAAUUAUAUAUUUCACAAAGUAAAGUCUAACCAUAUAUAUAAUAUGAUAUAUUAAUUUUUCUAUUACACAUUUAUGAAUUGGAUUAUUCCUAAAAAUUAUAUUUUGUUCAGUUAUAAAUUGUAAGCAUUACUUAUUUAGAUAUGAAUUAAAAUUUAUUAUAAUUAUUAUAUAAAUAAUAAUUUUUAAGUAAAAUUAGAAUUUUACCAAAACUUGAGAAUUAAAAUAAUAUCCUAAAAAGCUAAAACCAGUGAUUAGAUCCCAUGAGUCCCCCAUUUCCUUAACAUUUUUUUAGUUUUGAAAUCUUGCUAAACAUAAAUAAUAAUCAGUUAAGCACUGUCUAAGAUUAUAACCAUUGUCAAAGAAAAAAGAAAAAAGAAUUACACAUAUCUUUAUUAAUAUUUUAUGAAUUUUGAAAUCUUAUCUAAUGUGCAUAAGUGAUGAGUUUUUCUUUUAUAUCUAAACACUGAUCUAUUAUACCUUGUGAGCUAUGUUAUUCGUAGACCGUUAACAAAUUUAGCUGAUACUUCUCUCCCUUCCAAAUCCUCCAAUAAAGCCUUGCAUUCCUCUUUCUAUUACUCUUCAGACGACCAAGCAAUAGCUUCGAUCAGCGCUCUCAUGUCACAUUAAUCUAUACUAUACUAUAAUAAGCCAAGAUAAGUAUAAUUUGUAGUCCUACUUUUUGUUCCUAUUUUUUGGUUUGAUCGUUUUUUUUAUCGACUAUACUAAUAUUUUAUUAUCGUCCUCUAUUAGAAGUCUACUCCUAACAAUCAACAGAGUUUGGUUUGUACAAAACCAACUGCUACACAUAACAACCCGGUAUACAGCACCGUGCGAGCUGCUUUUUCCGUUGCCCUGCUUGCUUACUUUCUCUGUAAAUUAUACAAUUCCAAUUACUCCUCUGCUUCUUCUUCUUCUUCAUAUAAUUAAACUAAAAUUAUAUGGCCGCCCGUGCUUCGCACGGGUUAUAGGUUAUUAUAUACUUAUAUAUAAUAAGCGUAAGGGAGAUAAUUUGCGAGCUGCUUUUUCCGUUGCCCUGCUUGCUUACUUUCUCUGUAAAUUAUACAAUUCCAAUUACUCCUCUACUUCUUCUUCUUCUUCAUAUAAUUAAAUUAAAAUUAUAUGGCCGCCCGUGCUUCGCACGGGUUAUAGGCUAUUAUAUACUUAUAUAUAAUAAGCGUAAGGGAGAUAAUUUGGUCGCAUGGUCCUAUGGUCCAAAAGCUUAUCAUCCGUUAGAUCGUAUAUUGAACAAAUAAGCACCGUUAAAUUGGAACAAAAUUAACUUCUGUUCUAUAAGGCAACUGAUAUCUAAUUGCAGGUUUAUAAUUCCUUUUCUGAAUCCAAAACAAAUUAUGUUUCUCACGUGUUUAUGAUUGUUUUAAUCCAAAAUAAAUAUUUACUACCAGUUUUAUUUGUAGAAUCAUAUAAAUCGCACCGUCAUAAUUCUUUUAUAAUAUAUUUUAAAAUUAAUAAGCCGGAUUUAUGUGAGUAACGAAUACAAAAACUUUUUCUUAAUCCAAAAUAGUUUUUACCUUCUUAUUGCAUGUUUAUGGUUCCUUUUCUUAAUUCAAAUCAAAUUAUUUUUAUCAAUUUUAAUCUAGAACCAUAUAAAUUUUUUGAAAAAUAUUUAAAUCACAUUAUAAUAAUUCUAAUAUAAAAUACAUUUAUAAAUAUAAUCUAAUAGGAGUUGGCGUAACAUAUUCUACUCAAAAUAUAUUAAAAUUUGAUAGAAAGAAUUUAAUACCUUGACAUGAUACAUACGAGAAUAGGAAUGGCUUCAUUAUAAUAGUUUAUUUGAAACCAUUAAUAGUUGUUAUCGUGUAUUUGCAACAGUUAUAACUUACAAACAAGUCACAAUUUCGAAUUUUAUUUUAUUGAAAAUUUUAAUUUAUUAUUUAUAAAUUAAAUUUUUUCACACUAUUUAAAAUAUAUUUAAAAAGAUUCCGUGCCUUGCACGGGCUAUAAGCUAGUAAUAAUAAUAAUGAAACCUCAAAUUCGACUACAAAUUUCCGACAUGAAUACGUAUUCCAGACUUGGCAACAAAUUGAAAAGUAUACAUAUUUUUGACGAAACAAGUGUCCAAGUCCAUGUGUCUAUGUCCAAAUAUAGAGUCUUCGACACGAGUACUCGAAGGUUAUACGAAGAGUACGAGUAACACAGUAUUAAACCAGCAGUGUAUUCAUAAAGCUCGACUACAUCGGUGGCAAUCAAGAGAACUUAGGAACCCUUGGCCUUGGUGUCCUAGAUUUUGGUUGUUUGGUCUCUUACAGUACCAAGUGCUUGAACUUAGGAACUAUAAUGCAUUAAGUUAUAGAAUUAUUUGGACUAUGAUUAUGUUAUAGAAUUACAAUCUCACUGAUUCCACCACUCUAAGAGAGUAUUAGUAUUACGCGUUCCAACUCAUAUGAACAGAUCGCCUUUUAACCAAUACACUAUAUAUACAAAGCUCGCUCAAGUCGCCAUAAGCGUUUCAAUUCUGUUCUUCUUGCUUUGCUUACUGGAGACUACUACCACCCCUAACCACCUUGUUUUAACAUUUGCCGCUUACACCAUUUUUCUGGACCAAUGACAGUUUUAUUUUCGGCCUCACUUUCUCCCCCAGACUCCUAAUUAACUAGUCUACUAAUAGUCUGUUAUUAAAAACGAAGAUUAUAAUUAAUCUAUAUCAAUCCCCAUAUACUUUUCUGUUUGUAACAGAGGAUCACUUAUUCAAGGACAGAACUUAAAACAAAGAUAAUUUGACCGAUGGUAGCUAUCUAACGGGGGUGUAUUCGAUGAGAUUCUAAUGGAUUGUUUUUAGUUCAUAGAUUUUAAUAGAUUGUAUGUGAUUUUAUACAAAAUGAUAGUCGAUCUGUAAGCUACAACUCAGAAUUUAAAAAAGAACAAUUAUUCAUGUACUGAAAUCGCAAGUAAUACCUCUGCAACCAUAUCCAUGAAAAACUUCAUUCAAAAGCAAAAAUAGCUAAUUAGUUGCUUCUCGCACUGUGAUUAAUUGAACACAAGGCUCUCAGGCAAGCAAAUGAUAGAAAAAGAGCGAAAAAAAUCCAUGGUAAUACCAGAAAUUAGACCACUAUUGCUUUCCAAUUUAAUUUAGAAGCUCAAAUCCUUGAAAUCCUUCAGGUGAAACAAGGCUCUCCGUGUACUUGACAACUGAACUGAAGUCUUCGAAAUCUCCAGGGGGUAAAAGAAGCUUCUUGACAUCUUUCUUUUUAUAGUCAUAAAAAAAGAUGAGUCCCUCAUCAUUUUUUGCUACAAAUUGCCCAGCACCCCAAUACAGACAUACCCAAUCUAUCUUCACAUCAGCCUCAAAAUUGAACUUCUUAGUCCAAGCCACUUUGUCGUCACAGACAUUAUCCAACGUCCAUAGACUCAGAACUGAUCCAUCGACGGCCUCAAAGACCAUUGCAGCAGAACCUUCAAAAUCCAAAACAUUUGAUUUUGAAUGCUGCACGUGGUCGGGAAAGGGAUAGGGAUAUACUCCAAACACCUCUUUAUCCAUAUCAAAUGAUAUUAAUUCAUCAAAACCUUCAAAAUAUAAUACCCCGGUUUUGAGAUCAAGAACACAUUUUUCAUUUGUGCCAAACGCUAUAUUCUUUAGGUUUUCAGGAACAUUGAUCUCCUUAAAAUUUUCAGUUUUCGAAGAAUACAAUUCUGCUAAUAUUAGCUCAUCAAAAGAAUUUGUAUAUGACACUCUUGUAAGCCUAAGAAGCUUGUAGUCAUUACAAGUAGAAUCAUAACCAAACACGAAGUCACUUAGGAGUACUUCCUGAUCUUCUCGUCUUCUCCGGACAGUUAAAAGUUUUUUCAACUGCUUGGUCGCCGGAUUCCAUAAGUACAUAACAUUAUUAUGAAAAUCACUGUCCGCAAGACAAACAAGACCACUACAAGAAGAUAUGCAAUCAAACCUACCCUUGCUUGGAAGUUUGAGCCUGACAGAUUCUUCGAGAGUAUCAAGCUGAUAGACACGGUGAAAAUAUUUAUCAAGGAUUAAGGGGGCUGGUUUUUUCUGAGAAUUGGUGAGGUGAGCAUUGAUGAAUUGUUGGUCCGAUAUUAUGGAUAGCCAUGACUUGCAAACUGAACGGAACCGGAGCAGUGAUUUCACGGGUAAAUAUGAAAGUAUUUCGAAGAUAAGGUCUUGAGGGAAGUGAUAACUACAACUUGAUGCCAUGGAAGAACCGUAGACUUUAUAAACCCUAAUAUAAGCAAACAAGGAUAAAGUAGUGAUAUAACGAAAAGGAUUCACGUAUACUAUACGUAGAUUUUAACUUUGAAUUUUUAUUAACAACGGUGAUCAGUUAGAUAUCCUUGUCAAUGAGGAACUUAUAACUCCUUCGUGUCCUUUAGGUGUUUGGUUGGAGAAGGGUAUCAGGUUGGAAUAAUUAAGGAGUCGGGUUAAAAUAGUAUGAGUUUGAGGUAUUAGAUGUUUGAUUGAGUCGUGCAAUGAUUGUAUAUAAUGUUUACGAGUUAUUAAUUGUAAUUAAUUUAAAAUAUCAUUAAAUUAAUAUUUAUAUAUAUUUUGAGUCAUUAAUUUUAUUUUAUAUUAAUAAUCUACAUGAAAUGAUAUAAAUAGUAUUAAAAACAAAAAGAAAAAAAUUGAUUCAUGGAACCCAUAUUUCAUACCUAUCUCUUCCUUAGGUAUGAAAUCUCAUACCUUGUGGUUCAAGAAAUGAGUUUGAUGAAAGAAAUUUUACAACCAGAUAUGGCAUACCAGAAAAACCCGAAUGAAACGACCCCAAGAAUACUAGCUGUCACGCCAUUUAUAGCACCUUUAAUUUUAUCGUUUAUAUUUUAAAUUCAAUUAAAAUACAAAUCUAUUGUAUUAAAUUUUUUUAAAUAUUUUCACUUAAUUGGGUAAUAAGAAAAUUGAUUCGAACACGUUUACCGACCGGCUGAUAAAACUUGACCGACUAAUAAUAUUAAUAAUAUUUCACUUUUAAGUAGAAAAAAUAUAUGAAAUUUAUUAUAAGAAUUAUAUUUUAUUUGUGAAACUGUUUUAUUUGUAAACAUUAAAUUCUAUAUUUUAUAUUAAAACAUUACAUAUAAAUAAUUUUUAUUAUUAAAUUUUGACCUUUCAUCAAAUAAUAAGAUUUAAGAGUUUUAAUAUUCUGCAGUACUAAAAAUUAAUUUUAUAAUAAUUAAUAUUUUCUGAAACUAUUAUUUACACAUCCCAUGAUCCCAAUCUAGUUUAUUAUGUAUACAUUAAUCUAAUUUCAAAAAAAAAGUAUAAAUUAAAAUAAAUUUUAGUUUUGGUAAAUAAGUACAUGAGUCGGUUUGGGCCGCUGAACAAGUUGGACAUGGCCCACAAACAGUGUUUCAAUUGCAAUGAAAUUGGGGUCAAAUGGGCUGGACCAUAAUCUCUUGAAACCCAAAGUAUGAUUAACAGUUUAACAAUAUUGAGAUUCCAUAUUUUCAUGGAACUUACUUGCCUCCUAAAUGAGUUAACUUAUUCUUUUUAUUUACCCAUUGCUUCAGAUAUUUAUUUUCUCGUGAAAUGCUGAAGUAUAGAUAGUUCAUAUUUGUUAAUCUGGUAAUUUGUGCUUGAUGGGUUGUUCUUAUUAGCUCAAAGUUUUGAAAUUUAAGAAUUUUAAGCAAGUCCUUUGCUUGUUGCAAGUCAGGUAGGGUCUGAACUCUAAAUUCUUUUAGCCUGUGGAAUUUGUUGGUAAUAGAGAGAGAGGGAGGGAGAGGGAGAGAGGAGGGAGAGGGAGAGAGAGGGAGAGGGAGGGAGGGAGAGAGAGAGGAGGGAGAGAGAGAGAGAGAGAGAGAGAGAGAGAGAGGGGGGUGAGAGAGAAAUGGAGAGAAAGAGAGAGACCUACUUGCCCUUCUGGAAUUCUUAAAAGAGAUGAGAAGUGAAGUUUGAAGGAGGGAAGGGAGGAGUUGAACUUGACCUAUUUGGGUAUCUUGAGAUUCCUUUAAUUAAUUAGUAGCCCUCUGGAUAUUAAUAGAGAUGAGAAGUGAAGUUUGGAGAUGGGGUUUAGGUUUGAGUUACAUAGUGUUGGUUGCAAUUAUUUGGAUUGCUUCUAGUUUUGUAGUUCAAUCAGUUGUUGAUUCUGGGGUUUCGCCAUUUCUUAUUACCUAUACAUGUAAUUCAUUGUUUGUGGUUUAUUUACCCUUAGUGGAAAUUGGACGGUGUUUGAAAGAUAUGUAUAGUAGCUUAGUUUUCUGCAGAAAAGAUGGUAGUUUGCUCAAGCGAAAUGGGUCAGAAGAGGCUAUUCUUCUUAGCGGAAGUGAUAGUAAUUAUCAAGUUGAGAGUUUGAAUCAAGGUGAGGUUGAAGAGAAAUCAGAACCUCUUAAUUGCGAUGGUAUUGUGGUUGGGACAUUAGAAUCGGAUCAAACUGGUACAUAUGAAAAUGUUGAUGAUGGUCUGGACGAGAGAGGACGGUGGACUCGGAUUAGGGUGGCAAAAGUAAGCUUGUUAAUAUGCCCAUUUUGGUUUCUCGCACAACUUACAUUCAAUUUUUCCCUAAAAUAUACUACAGUCACGGUAAGUAAUUUAAAAUUGUAUUGUUCUAAUAUACUUUUUGCUUAAUCUCUUCAGGGAUGUUAACAAUUUAAUCCUUGUCUACAGUCCAACACCAUCCUAAGCAGUGCUUCAAGUCUUUUCACGUUCCUUGUCUCUCUAGCUUUUUUGGGUGAGACAUUCACUUUGGUAAAGCUGAUUAGCGUCCUUCUUUGCAUGGGAGGAACAAUUAUUGUUAGUUUGGGGGACUCAGAAUCAGGAUUGAGAAAUGUUGCCUCAAAACCUCUUCUUGGGGAUAUCCUUGCUCUUAUAUCUGCUGCAUUAUAUUCUGUGUAUAUUACACUUAUUCGUAAACAUAUACCUGAUGAUGACGUUGGAAAUCACGGGCAUGUUAGUAUGGCACAAGUCCUUGGAUUUCUUGGGCUGUUCAACCUUCUGAUUUUUCUGCCUGUUGCACUGGCACUCAAUUUCACCAAGUUGGAGCCUUUUAGUAUGCUCACUUGGAAGCAGUUUGGCCUGAUUGUCGGAAAAGGUAUGUUUCCCUAGUAGCCUUGUCAUUUAUAUUUGAAAUUCCUACACAUUUUAGUCCUGGUCAAAUGAUAAUCUUUAUAUUGAAAAUCGUGGUUGUAGAUGUUAUAUUCAAUUGAGGUAUGUUGUGUGGUAAAAGUGAGCCAAUUUUCACAUAUAAGAUUGUGCGAACAGACUUAUCACAUUGCUUUUUGAUCAACUCUUUCAAUUUUCAUCUACCUCUUUCUUAUUCCUUAUAAAAUGUAGACUCUUUCAUCAUGUGGAAUUUUCUACGUCUGGAACCUUUUUACUUUUCAUCAUGAAGGUCAAAUUAUGUUAUGGACAUCUUACGGAACCAAAACUAAUGUCAAAAUGGUUGUCUUGGUUUUCCUGGAAAAAUGAGAGGAUAAUUUUAGCAGAAGGCCUUUUCUAAUCCACCCAAACGUCGACCUUCUAGAUGGUAGGCAAAACUCGUUAAAGUCUAAGCUGUAUACCUGAUAUUUAUCUAUUGUUUGGUAGAAACAGAUGAAAUACUGGAAAUGGCAAUAACAUGUUUCCACCCCAUAAAUAUUUAAAAUAGAAAACUCUAUAAUCCAAAUCUUCCUGUCAUUGUUACUCCUUCAACAACUACUUGCUCCAACUUAAUUACAGGAUAAGAUGCAACGAUUGACAUGCACAUGAAGUUCAUACUUCUUCUGUUUGUGUUCUGUUUGUAUUGUUUUAUAUAAAUUAUUUGAUUUGUGAAGUAAAGUCAUUUCAUUUCAUUAGGUUUGAUAGACAAUGUUUUAAGCGAUUACCUGUGGGCCAAGGCUGUUCUUCUCACGACGACAACAGUAGCAACAGCAGGACUCACAAUUCAAGUCCCUUUAGCUGCUCUUGUGGAUUCAGUGACAGGAAAUGCACCGCAUACUAUGGAUUAUGUGGGGGCUGCUGCUGUCUUGGUCGGUUUUGUGGGCAUUAACAUCCCAUCAGGCACAUUCUCAAGAUCCCUAGUAUCACUUGAAUAAUGCAAAUUGCUGGUCUACUAAUCAAUAUCUCCUUGAAGAAAAUCUACAAGACUACUCUAAUUCGGUUAAAUUUGUAUGAUUGCAGGAAUUUUUGCCUGUUCUGUUUUAUCUUUCUAUCAAUAUUCUGCAAAUGUACUUUGAUUUAACACUUCCUCAAUGUAUAUUUCUUAAUCCAUAGAUCACAAAUUACUGCACAAUAAAUGUUGAUCAUUGUAACUAUUUUUCUGAGUUCAACUCGAAUAUCUGGUUUGAGCUCAACUCAAAAUUCAAAUAUUUAUCCGGCUCAAAUAGCACGUGAGCUAUUUGAGCCAAAUAGCUCACGUGAGCUCAAAUUGCUCACUUUGUCGUCACAAACAUCAUCCAACGUCCAUAGACUCAGAACUGAUCCAUCGACGGCCUCAAAGACCAUUGCAGCAGAACCUUCAAAAUCCAAAACAUUUGAUUUUGAAUGCUGCACGUGGUCGGGAAAGGGAUAGGAAUAUACUCCAAACACCUCUUUCUCCAAAUCAAAUGAUAUUAAUUCAUCCAUACCUUCAAAAUAUAAUACCCCGGUUUUGAGAUCAUGAAAACAUUUUGAAUUUGUGCGAACCUCUAUAUUCUUUACGUUGUCAGGAACAUUGAUCUCCUUAAAAUUUCCAUUUUUCGAAGAAUACAAAUCUGCUACUAGGCCAUUAGCAAUGUAAUCCCUAUCAGGAGGAUAAUAAUAUGUAUGUACUCCCUCCGUCCCAGUCAAUUCUAUACAGUUUCUUUUUUGGGAAAUCCCAUCAAUUCUAUACAUUCCAAAAAUAGUAACUUUUAAUAAUAUAAAACACUAUUACACCUACUACUUUCUUCAACUAUCUUCAUUCUAUAAUAAUAUAAACACUAUUAAACCCACUACUUUCCUCCACUAUCUCAAAUCUAUCAUUAAAUAUAAAUGGGUCCCACCACUUUACCCACUUUUCCUCUAACUCUACUCACUUUUUACACUUUUUCUUGGUAUCCGUGUCCAAACCAUUUGUAUAUAAAUGAUUGGGACGGAGGGAGUAACUAUCUCAAAUCUAUCAUUAAAUAUAAAUGGGUCCCACCACUUUACCCACUUUUCCUCUAACUCUACUCACUUUUUACACUUUUUCUUGGUAUCCGUGUCCAAACCAUUUGUAUAUAAAUGAUUGGGACGGAGGGAGUAACACACAAAAUGUAACCCUAAGAAGCUUGUAGUCAUUACAAGUAAAAUCAUAAACAAACACGAAAGCACUUUCAUCCCAAUCUCCUCGUCCUUUCGGGUCACAAAGUUUACUCAACUGAUUGGUCCACGGAUUCCAUAAGUACAUAACAUUACCAUAUUGUUCCGUAAGACAAACAAUACCAUUACAAGAACACAUCCAACGAGCCCUACCAUUGCGUUGGGUUGGAACAUGGAGCCUGACAGAUUCUUCACGAGUAUCGACAUAGACAUUGUCAAAAGCAUUAUCAAGGACUAGGGUGGCUGGUUUUUUCUGAGAAUUGGUGAGGUGAGUAUCGAUAAAUUGUUGGUCCGAUAUUAUGGAUAGCCAUGACUUGCAAACUGAACGGAACCGGAGCAGUGAUAUCACAGGUAAAUAUGAAAGUAUUUCAAAGAUAAGUUCUUGAGGGAAGUGAUAACUACUUCUUAAUGCCAUUGAUGAUCAGGCCAAAUCUUGAUUCAGAUAUUGAGAUAUUCUUAUUAAUAUUUUUAAGUUUUGAAAAUUUGCGAAAGACUUGAAAAAAUCUGGAUGUUAUUAUCAGUUAGGCAUAAUUAAAGAGAUUCAGAUAUCCGUAUCAAUAUUUUGUGAUCAGGGAGAUUAUAAUAAUUUAAGAUCACAAAUAUUUUACUUUAUCUCGAAGAAAUUAAAUUUAAUUAUAUAUUUCACAAAUUAAAGUCUAACCAUAUAUAUAAUAUGAUAUAUUAAUUUUCUAUUACACAUUUAUGAAUUGGAUUAUUCCUAAAAAUUAUAUUUUGUUCAGAUAUAAAUUGUAAGCAUUACUUAUUUAGAUAUGAAUUUAAAUUUAUUAUAAUUAUUAUAUAAAUAAUAAUUUUUAAGUAAAAUUAGAAUUUUACCAAAACUUGGGAAUUGAAAUAAUAUCUUAAAAAGCUAAAACCAGUGAUUAGAUCCCAUGAGUCCCCCAUUUCCUUAACAUUUUUUUAAUUUUGAAAUUUUGCUAAACAUGAAUAAUAAUCAGUUAAGCACGGUCUAAGAUUAUAACCAUUGUCAAAGAAAAACGAAUUACAUAUAUCUUUAUUAAUAUUUUAUGAAUUUUGAAAUCUUAUCUAAUGUGCAUAAGUAAUGAGUUUUUCUUUUAUAUCUAAACACUGAUCCAUUAUACCUUGUGUGUGAGCUAUGUUGUUCGUAGACCGUUAACAAAUUUAGCUGACACUUCUCUCCCUUCCAAAUCUUCCAAUAAAGCCUUGCAUUCCUCUCUCUAUUACUCUUCAGACGACCAAGCAAUAGCUUCGAUCAGCGCUCUCAUGUCACAUUAAUAAUAAUAAUAAUGAAACCUCAAAUUCGACUACAAAUUUCCGACAUGAAUACGUAUUCCAGACUUGGCAACAAAUUGAAAAGUAUACAUAUUUUUGACGAAACAAGUGUCCAAGUCCAUGUGUCUAUGUCCAAAUAUCGAGUCUUCGACACGAGUACUCGAAGGUUAUAUGAAGAGUACGAGUAACACAGUAUUAAACCAGCAGUGUAUUCAUAAAGCUCGACUACAUCGGUGGCAAUCAAGAGAACUCUGCACUGAUUGAUUCAAUUCUCUUCAACAUAAAUGGCACCCUUGGCCUUGGUGUCCUAGAUUUUGGUUGUUUGGUGUCUUACAGUACCAAGUGCUUGAACUUAGGAACUAUAAUGCAUUAAGUUAUAGAAUUAUUUGGACUAUGAUUAUGUUAUAGAAUUACAAUCUCACUGAUUCCACCACUCUAAGAGAGUAUUAGUAUUACGCGUUCCAACUCAUAAGGACAUAUCGCCUUUCAAUCCCCAUAUACUUUUCUGUUUGUAACAGAGGAUCACUUGUUCAAGGACAGAACUUAAAACAAAGAUAAUUUGACCGAUGGUAGCUAUCUAAAUUUAUACAAAAUGAUAGUCGAUCUGUAAGCUUCAACUCAGACUUUAAAAAAGAACAAUUAUUCAUGUACUGAAAUCGCAAGUAAUACCUCUGCAACCAUAUCCAUGAAAAACUUCAUUCAAAAGCAAAAAUAGCUAAUUAGUUGCUUCUCGUGCUGUGAUUAAUUGAACACAAGGCUCUCAGGCAAGCAAAUGACAAUUGCUAUAAAGAAAAAAGCGCAAAAAAAAAAAUCCAUAGGUAUACCAGAAAUUAGACCACUAUUGCUUUCUAAUUUAAUUUAGAAGCUCAAAUCCUUGAAAUCCUUCAGGUGAAACAAGGCUCUCCGUGUACUUGACAACUGAACUGAACUCUUCGAAAUCUCCAACAUGAGGGGGUAAAGGUAAAAGAAGCUUCUUGACAUCUUUCUUUUUAUAGUCAUAAAAAAAGAUGAGUCCCUCAUCAUUUUUUGCUACAAAUUGCCCAGCACCCCGAUACAGACAUACCCAAUCUAUCUUCACAUCAGCCUCAAAAUUGAACUUCUUAGUCCAAGCCAUUUUGUCGUCACAGACAUUAUCCAACGUCCAUAGACUCAGAACUGAUCCAUUGACGGCCUCAAAAACCAUUGCAGCAGAACCUUCAAAGUCCAAAACAUUUGAUUUUGAAUGCUGCACGUGGUCGGGAGAGGGAUAGGGAUAUACUCCAAACACCUCUUUAUCCAUAUCAAAUGAUAUUAAUUCAUCAGUGCUGUUAAAGUAUAUGUUAAAGUAGUACUUGUACUGUAGCAACCUUGGCCUCCAAGUUCUUCACUGUAGCAACACUGCUUUAGUACUGUAGCAACCGUAGGCUGCAAGGUAGUUUGCUCUAUUUAAGUAGUUCAUUUCCUUUGUAAUAACCAAGCUGAACACUCCAUAUCAAUAUACAAGAGUCAUAGUUUGUUCUUCUCUUAACAUUGAUGUUCAGUUUCACCAUCUAUAUGCUCACAUUGCUUAUACAAUAUAUGUAACCAAUCUUCGGUUAUCUAUAUACAUACACAAGCAGAGCAUCCCCGUGUCCGAUUUCUACAUGGUAUCAGAGCUAUAGGCUCCUGAUCUUCUCUGUUCCGCUGUCACCAAAAUCAAGCUGACAAAACACACUUGAAGUUUGGCCGGCAGUUUCUUUGCAAGCUUUGGCUGAGAACUCCGGCAGGUACUUCGUAUUUUGUCCGGCUGUAAUUAUUUACACCACUGAAUCAUUCCAUCAUCCUUCCUGAUUUCCCCCACUCAUCUGGUGUCACCAGCUCUUUGUGACAUUAAAUCAAACACCUUGUGUGCCGAAUCAGAAAGGUGCAUAAUCAUCACCUUUUCCACACCCAUAUCAGCCACAAUACACAAAACAACGAAUAUCACUUAUUCGAUUUCAUCGAUAUCUCACCCACUACCGAGUUAGCUCACCCAGUCAACUCACUCAUUCUCCUCCGGCCAGACGCCAUUUCUGUCCGGCGAACCCCAUCCUUGCAAGUCUCACCGCUAUUUUUAUCUCUGCCUUUUUUUUCUUUGCACGCUGCUGCAUAUUAUUAGGGCUUCAGACAUAUAUUUUGUUCUGGGCUAGCACCAAAAGAAACCUUGUUUAGUUUUAUUUGGGCCACACCAAUUCAGCCCAAGUAAAAUAUACGAGCAGGUUUUCUUGUUUUCUAGCAAAACAUUCAAUUUAGUACAUGAUCUUUUUCAAAUAUUCUAAGUUGAACCUUGUUGUUUUCCUUAGCUUAUUUCUAAGCCCCUGUACUUCUAAAUUUUUCCAAUCAAGUUCCUGAAGUUUACAAGUUUUUCACUCAAGUCCUUUCACUUGCGAAGAUGGAAAGAGAAAAUAGUUCCUCGAUUCAAACAAUCUUAAUUGGCUCGAACUAUUUAUCUUGGUCUCAAGCUAUGCGUAGCUUUCUGAAGGGAAAACGUCUUUGGAGGUACGUUAAUGGGGAUUUCACUGUUCCUACGAAAGAGAAAGAUGAAUCUGAUUCACAUUUGAAAGAUCGUAUUGAGGAAUGGGAUGUCAAAAAUCAUCAAGCUAUUACAUAUUUUAGAAACUCUGUUGUUUCUAAAAUUAAUUUACAGUUUGGAAACUUUGACACCGCAAAAGAAAUUUGGGAUUUGUUGGAAUCUCGAUACACUACAUCUGAUCUUUCCCAUCAAUAUCAGAUCAUUUGUUCUCUCAGUAAGCAGAAACAGGAGUCCGGUCAAUCAGUUGCUGAGUUUCUGUCACAGUUACAAUCACUUUGGGAUCAGUUGGCAUUGUCUGAACCAAAGUGGUUACACACAGAGGAUGGAACACUCUAUCAUGCAUACCGUGACCAACAACGACUCAUCAAGUUUCUAAUGGCUCUGACACAGGAUUUUGAACCUGUUAGAGCUGCUUUGCUUCAUCGUGUACCACUGCCUUCUUUGGAGAGUGCUGUUGCUGAACUCAUUUCGGAAGAAACUCGACUCGACAUCGGGAAAGGUAGUAUUGUGGAAGACAUGGUCCUAGCGACACCUUCACCAUCCACCUCCACAUUUGAUACACCAUUUUGUAAAUUUUGUCGACAAAAUGGACAUUUUAUCAAGGAGUGUGUAACACUUCGCAAUCAUACCUGCCAAAACUGUCAUCAAAAGGGUCAUUCGGCACAAUUUUGUAAAAAGCCAUCUUCUGGGUCAAACAAGCUCUCCCAUCCUUCCGUUGAUGUAACCUCGGAUUCUACACCGCCAACUGCAUCAACUAGUGAGCUUGAAUCUUUGCUCAAACAGGUUUUAUCUAAAAUUGAUUCUUCUUCCACCGCAUUCACUGUCACUUCGGGUUCUUCAGACAUGACAUGCUCUUGGGACAAACCGUGAAUACGGAAGAUUGAUUGUCAAGAAGCUUUCAAGAGACACAAUUCUUCUACAUUGUGUCUCAACUAUAAAAGCUUAACCUCCUGCCACUUUCAGUGAUUUUGUUUACAAACUCAAGUUGGUUCUUCAACCAUCUCAAGUUUGAGGGGGGGUGUUAAAGUAUAUGUUAAAGUAGUACUUGUACUGUAGCAACCUUGGCCUCCAAGUUCUUCACUGUAGCAACACUGCUUUAGUACUGUAGCAACCGUAGGCUGCAAGGUAGUUUGCUCUAUUUAAGUAGUUCAUUUCCUUUGUAAUAACCAAGCUGAACACUCCAUAUCAAUAUACAAGAGUCAUAGUUUGUUCUUCUCUUAACAUUGAUGUUCAGUUUCACCAUCUAUAUGCUCACAUUGCUUAUACAAUAUAUGUAACCAAUCUUCGGUUAUCUAUAUACAUACACAAGCAGAGCAUCCCCGUGUCCGAUUUCUACAAGUGCCUUCAAAAUAUAAUACCCCGGUUUUGAGAUCAUGAACACAUUUUGAAUUUGUGCAAAGCACUAUAUUCUUUAGACUUUCAGGGACAUUGAUCUCCUUAAAAUUUCCAGUUUUCGAAGAAUACAAUUCUGCUAUUAGCUCAUGAGCAUAUUCAUAUAACACAAAUGUAAGCCUAAGAAGCUUGUAGUCAUUACAAGUAGAAUCAUAACCAAACACGAAGUCACUUAUUUCCCAAUCUUCUUCUCGUACUCUCGGGGCAGCUGAAAGUUCUUUCCACUGCUUGGUCGCCGGAUUCCAUAAGUACAUAACAUGAAUAUCAAUAUCAAACUCACUGUCCGCAAGACAAACAAGACCACUACAAGAAGAUAUGCAAUCAAACCUACCCUUGCUUGGAAGAUUGAGCCUGACAGAUUCUUCGAGAGUAUCAAGCUGAUAGACACGGUUAAAAUCUUUAUCAAGGAUUAAGGGGGCUGGUUUUUUCUGAGAAUUGGUGAGGUGAGUAUUGAUAAAUUGUUGGUCCGAUAUUAUGGAUAGCCAUGACUUGCAAACUGAACGGAACCGGAGCAGUGAUUUCACGGGUAAAUAUGAAAGUAUUUCGAAGAUAAGUUCUUGAGGGAAGUGAUAACUACAACUUGAUGCCAUUGAUCAGGCCAAAUCUGAAGCUUGGAAGAACCGUAGACUUUAUAAACCCUAAUAUUAAUAUAAGCAAACAAGGAUGUAUCCUAAAAUAGUGAUAUAACGAAAAGGAUUCACGUAUACUUAUACGUAGAUUUUAACUUUGAAUUCUUAUUAACAACGAUAAUCAGUUAGAUAUCCUUGUCAAUGAGAAACUUAUUAUUAUAUAUUUAUAUAAAUAAGCGUAAGAGAGAAUUUGGUCGCAUGGUAAGUUUAUCAUCCGUUGGAUCCUACGUUGGAUCGUAUAUUGAACAAAUAAGCAACGUGAGAUUAGAACAAAAUUAACUUUUAAUCUUAUGAGGCAACUGAUAUCUACUUUACAUGUUUAUAAUUCCUUUUCUGAAUCCAAAACAAAUUUUGUCUUUCACAUGUUUAUGAUUUUUUUAAUCCAAAAUAAGUAUUUUCUACCAGCUUUAAUUGUAGAAUCAUAUAACUCGCAGCGUCACAAAAUUAUUUUUAUCUAAUAUAUUUUAAAAUUAAUAAGUCGGAUAUUUUAAUCUAAAAUAAAUAUUUCCCACCAGUUUUAAUUGUAGAAUCAUAUAAAUCGCUCCAUCACAAAAUUAUUUUUAUCUAAUAUAUUUUAAAAUUAGUAAGCCAAAUUUAAAUCAUACUAUAAUAAUUCUAAUAUAAAAUACAUUUAUAAAUAUAAUCUAAUGGAAGUCGACGUCACAUAUUCUACUCAAUAUAUAUUAAAAUUUGAUAGAAAAAAUUUAAUACCUUGGCAUGAUACAUAAGAGAAAAGGAAUGUCUUGAUUACAAUAGUUUAUUUGAAGCCAUUAAUGGAUGUGACGGUGUAUUUUAUACUGCAUCGCCACGGUCGGAUGAUCCAACAUGUGUGACCAGUUGUUUUUUUUUUUUUUUACAGAAACAAGUCUGAAAAGUAGAAUCUAUAUAUUUUUACAAUAAUUCUGACUUACAAACAAAUUAUAAUUUCAAAUUUUAUUUAAUUGAAAAUGCGAUUUAUAAUACCUCUAAUUUUAUCGUUUAUAUUUUAAAUUCAAUUAAUAUACAAAUCUAUUGUAUUAAUUUUUUUAAAUAUUUUAACUUAAUUGGUAAUAAGAAAAUUGAUUCGAACACGUUUACCGACCGGCUGAUAAAACUUGACCGACUAAUAAUAUUAAUAAUAUUUCACUUUUAAGUAAUAUAUGAAAUUUAUUAUAAGAAUUAUAUUUUAUUUGUGAAACUGUUUUAUUUGUAAACAUUAAAUUCUAUAUUUUAUAUUAAAACAUUACAUAUAAAUAAUUUUUAUUAUUAAAUUUUGACCUUUCAUCAAAUAAUAAGAUUUAAGAGUUUUAAUAUUCUGCAGUACUAAAAAUUAAUUUUAUAAUAAUUAAUAUUUUCUGAAACUAUUAUUUACACAUCCCAUGAUCCCAAUCUAGUUUAUUAUGUAUACAUUAAUCUAAUUUCAAAAAAAAAGUAUAAAUUAAAAUAAAUUUUAGUUUUGGUAAAUAAGUACAUGAGUCGGUUUGGGCCGCUGAACAAGUUGGACAUGGCCCACAAACAGUGUUUCAAUUGCAAUGAAAUUGGGGUCAAAUGGGCUGGACCAUAAUCUCUUGAAACCCAAAGUAUGAUUAACAGUUUAACAAUAUUGAGAUUCCAUAUUUUCAUGGAACUUACUUGCCUCCUAAAUGAGUUAACUUAUUCUUUUUAUUUACCCAUUGCUUCAGAUAUUUAUUUUCUCGUGAANGACAGCACAAACAGUUUAACAAUAUUGAGAUUCCAUAUUUUCAUGGAACUUACUUGCCUCCUAAAUGAGUUAACUUAUUCUUUUUAUUUACCCAUUGCUUCAGAUAUUUAUUUUCUCGUGAAAUGCUGAAGUAUAGAUAGUUAAUAUUUGUUAGAGCAAGUCCAGUGUCCUAGUUGAAACCCUAAAUAUAAUAUAAAAAAUUAUGUUCUAGUAGUUUAGGAUAUAUUCUACUAACUUCAACUUCAACAAUGUGUCUUAUUUUAUUGUUAAAAGUCACUUUCAUCAUUAAAAUAUAAUAAUAUAAUAUAAAAUAGAGAGAGAAAGAGAGUGUUAGUAAGAAUUUAUUAUAAAAUAUGAGAUAGGGCCAAGAGAGAGCCUCAAAAAUAGGGUUUGAAUGGGUUGUCCUAGUGAUACAGGGCAUCAUUAGGACAUUGUUGGAUCAAAUUUUUUCAUCAAACCCUGUAUUAUGACUUAGGACACUAAAUAGGACAGCUGUUGGACUUGCUCUUAAUCCGGUAAUUUGUGCUUGAUGGGUUGUUCUUAUUAGCUCAAAGUUUUGAAAUUUAAGAAUUUUAAGCAAGUCCUUUGCUUGUUGCAAGUCAGGUAGGGUCUGAACUCUAAAUUCUUUUAGCCUGUGGAAUUUGUUGGUAAUAGAGAGAGAGGGAGGGAGAGGGAGAGAGGAGGGAGAGGGAGAGAGAGGGAGAGGGAGGGAGGGAGAGAGAGAGGAGGGAGAGAGAGAGAGAGAGAGAGAGAGAGAGAGAGAGGGGUGAGAGAGAAAUGGAGAGAAAGAGAGAGACCUACUUGCCCUUCUGGAACUCUUAAAAGAGAUGAGAAGUGAAGUUUGAAGGAGGGAAGGGAGGAGUUGAACUUGACCCAUUUGGGUAUCUUGAGAUAAUGAGAUUCCUUUAAUUAAUUAGUAGCCCUCUGGAUAUUAAUAGAGAUGAGAAGUGAAGUUUGGAGAGGGGGUUUAGGGUUGAGUUACAUAGUGUCGGUUGCAAUUAUUUGGAUUGCUUCUAGUUUUGUAGUUCAAUCAGUUGUUGAUUCUGGGGUUUCGCCAUUUCUUAUUACCUAUACAUGUAAUUCAUUGUUUGUGGUUUAUUUACCCCUAGUGGAAAUUGGACGGUGUUUGAAAGAUAUGUAUGGUAGCUUAGUUUUCUGGAGAAAAGAUGGUAGUUUGCUCAAGCGGCAAGGGUCUGAAGAGGCUGUUCUUCUUAGCGGAAGUGAUAGUAAUUAUCAAGUUGAGAGUUUGAAUCAAGACGAGGUUGAAGAGAAAUCAGAACCUUUUAAUUGCGAUGGUAUUGUGGUAGGGACAUUAGAAUCGGAUCAAACUGAUACAUAUGAAAAUGUUGAUGAUGGUCUGGAUGAGAGAGGACGGUGGACUCGGAUUAGGGUGGCAAAAGUCAGCCUGUUAAUAUGCCCAUUUUGGUUUCUCGCACAACUUACAUUCAAUUUUUCCCUAAAAUAUACUACAGUCACGGUAAGUAUUUUAAAAUUGUAUUGUUCUAAUAUACUUUUUGCUUAAUCUCUUCAGGGAUGUUAACAAUUUAAUCCUUGUCUACAGUCUAACACCAUCCUAAGCAGUGCUUCAAGUCUUUUCACGUUCCUUGUCUCUCUGGCGUUUUUGGGUGAGACAUUCACUUUGGUAAAGCUGAUUAGCGUCCUUCUUUGCAUGGGAGGAACAAUUAUUGUUAGUUUGGGAGACUCAGAAUCAGGAUUGAGAGAUGUUGCCUCAAACCCUCUUCUUGGGGAUAUCCUUGCUCUUAUAUCUGCUGCAUUAUAUUCUGUGUAUAUUACACUUAUUCGUAAGCAUAUACCUGACGAUGACGUUGGAAAUUACGGACAUGUUAGUAUGGCACAAGUCCUUGGAUUUCUUGGGCUGUUCAACCUUUUGAUUUUUCUUCCUGUUGCACUGGUACUUAAUUUCACCAAGUUGGAGCCUUUUAGUAUGCUCACAUGGAAGCAGUUUGGCCUGAUUGUCGGAAAAGGUAUGUUUCCCUAGUAGCCUUGUCGUGUAUAAAUAAAAUUCCUACUCAUUUUGGUCCUGGUCAAAUAAUAAUCUUUAUAUUGAAAAUCGUGGUUGUAGAUGUUAUAUUCAAUUGAGGCAUGUUGUGUGGUAAAAGUGAGCCAAUUAUCUUGCCAUCAUGCAGUUUAGUUUAGUACUUCACAUAUAAGAUUGUGCAACCAGACUUAUCACAUUGGUGACUUACCACUUAUCACAUUGGUUUUUGGUCACCUCUUUCAUUUCUCAUCUCCCUCUUUCUUACUCCCUAUAAAUGUAGACUCUUUUAUGAUUUAUCAUGUGGAAUUUCCAUGGACAUCUUACAGAACCGAAGUGUCAAAAUGGUUGCCUUUGCAUAAAGAUUGUGGCAAAGGUUUUCCUGGAAGAAUAAGAGGAUAAUUUAAGCAGCAGGACCCAAACUUCGACCUUCUAGAUCGUAGGCAAACCUCGUUAAAGUCUAAGCUGUAUGCCUAAUAUUUGUCUAUUGUUUGGUAGAAACAGAUGAAACACUGGAAGUGGCAAUAACAUGUUUUCGCCCCAUGAAUAUUUGAAAUAGAAAACUCUAUAAUCCAAAUCUUCAUGUCAUUGCUACUCCUUCAACAACUACUUGCUCCGACUUAAUUACAGGAUAAGAUGCGACGAUUGACAUGCACAUGAAGUUCAUACUUCUUUUGUUUGUGUUCUGUUUGUAUAGUUUUAUAUAAAUUAUUUGAUUUGUGAAGUAAAGUCAUUUCAUUUCAUUAGGUUUGAUAGACAAUGUUUUAAGCGAUUACCUAUGGGCCAAGGCUGUUCUUCUCACGACGACAACAGUAGCAACAGCAGGACUCACAAUUCAAGUUCCUUUAGCUGCUCUUGUUGAUUCAGUGACAGGAAAUGCACCGCAUGCUAUGGAUUAUGUAGGGGCUGCUGCUGUCUUGGUCGGUUUUGUGGGCAUUAACAUCCCGUCAGACACAUUCUCAAGAUCCCCAGUAUCACUUGAAUAAUGCUUAUUACUCGUCUACUAAUCAAGAACACCUUGAAGAAAAUCUACAAAGCAUUCGUCAAUUCUGUUGAAUUUGUAUUAUUGCAGGAAUUUUUGCCCGUUCUGUUUUAUCUUUCUAUCAAAUUUUCUGCAAAUGUACUUGAUGUAUUCACAUCCUCAAUGUAUAUAUUAAUCCAAAGAUCACAAAUUACUGAACAAUAAAUCUUGAUCAUUGUAAGAGCCUAUUUGAUUGGAAUUAAAAUUAUGAUUAAUGUUUUAUCACGAUUUUUCGUGGUAAGUGUGUAGUUCUAAUUAUCUGUGUAUAUGACUUUUAUUAUAAUUUUUAUUUUAAGUAUUUAUGACUUGAUAAAAAUAAAUUUGACAAGUAUUUGUGAUGAAAUUAAAUUUUAUUAAAAAAGAAUUUAUAAAAUAUAAGUUUUUUGAAAAAUAUAUCUCUUACCGAAACUUUUAGUCAAUUUAAAGAUUUUUUUUUGAACUUUAAAUCAGCUUCUUACUUAAAGUCUAAACCGUCCUAAAACCAGGAUCAUCAAAAAAAACAACAAAUUCAAAUAUGUUUACGAGCUUAACAAAUUCAAAUAUUUUACGAACUCAAUUCAAAUAUUCAAAUAUUUGACUUAAGUAGGUCACAUAAGAUUUGGCUUAUUACGUCUAAAUGUGAAAUCAAAUUCAAUUUCAAAUCAAAAUGAAUAGAAAACACCAGCGACUAGCCAACACUUUAGUACCUAGAAAAUGUCAUUUAAAGAUGAGGCAUACAAUUCGAUACUUAAUCAUUGAAUAAUAGUUUAUAGCCAUGGACAACAGCUAUAAUAUAAAUGUGAGCGGUUCAUCUUUCGCUAGUUGAAAGAGCUGACCCAAUAUUUCUAACAAUAAUAAGUAGCACAUAAUCACAAAUUCCAUUAUGGUGACAAGAUUAAUCAAGAAUGGGACUAGCUCUGCACAGAGUUGGUGCUUCCAUAUCUUUGCAUCACCCGCUUAGUUGCGAGUGCUGCAGCCUCACUGGCACGCAAGGUUCCACUCGCCAUGAUUGCAGCAAAUUCAUUGGUGAUCUCUUCUUGCACCUUGCUCCUUGCGUCCCCGAGAGGAUCUGCUGGCUUAGCCCUGGUCGAUGCUGCACUUGUAUUAGGUGCUCCAGACUUGACAGGUUUCUCUUCUACCUUUGGUUUAGUCACCUCUGGUUUUUUCUCUUCUUUUUUCACUCCACUGGAUGCAACAUUGUUGGCUGGUGUUGACAGUAUAGGUUGCUGAAACUGGGGGGCUUGGGGCACCGCACCAGCUUUCAUAGUUGUCUCUAGUCUUUCUAUCAUAGGCACUGCACAGAAAUUUCAAGGUUAUUGUUAGCAAUGGAAAUAUUCCCUGCCUCUCGAACUUAAGCUUCUACAGUCUACCCUCUUUCAGGAGAAAACAAGUAGCUCAACUUCUCAUGAAACGUCUAACAUAAAUUAUGGGCUUUUUAUACAGUAUUAGCAAUCAAGCGUUAUAAAUUGAGCUUUAAAUGUCACACCACUAUGUUCAACAGAUGAUGAAAUUGAAGGGUAAUUGCAGGAUUCCUGUCAAGUCAGACUUAGUCAUCAACAUCAUUUCUUGCAUACUUUAGAUUCGUGUUUCAUUUCUUGCAUACUUUAGAGUUUCGUGUUUCUUAAAAUGCUCAUCAUCUAGAUGCAUAGUAAAAUAAAGACUACCAUCCAAUGUACCAGCAGUUAAAAACUUACAUAUGAGAGCAGCCAUAGGACUGCUUGUGACUUCAUUAGGAAGAUUCAGGAUGUAUUCUGGAAUAGUAGCCCCCGCCAGAAAUUGUGCAACCUCAUUGCUGAAAUUGUUGCAGUUGUGUUUGAGCAAACUAUAUGACUCCGCCGUAUACCGGGGGCUGAUCUCUUCCAGAUACAUUUCAAAUACAUCUUUGGGGACAUGAGUGACACCAAUAUCAACCACUCGGAUCGGUGUCCCAUAUGGUGUAGUUCCAACAGGUGCAUGCUGCACACCACCGCUGAAGUAGUAUUCGGUGCCAUAAACCACUAUUCCUGUAUGCCUGUAAAAAGAAGCUUACAACACUUAUAAUAAGCCCAUCAAGCAAAUCUAAAAAUAAUUGUUCAAUGACUUCUUGCAGAAAUAUUAGGUUCCGCUAAAAUUAAGGAGCCUAAUAUUGGUUCACAGUUUGCACCCUAAAUCGAUAAAUUAUACACCAUGGUCCAUCUUAAAACACAAAUCAACAAAUUAUGCAUUCAGAAUCAAGGAGUUUUUUAAGAUACCAAAGUGUCAGAGGUCCUUUACUGAUGGCAUAAUAAGCAAUUUUGCUAAAAUUUCAUGAAAAUAAAAAUCCGAGCAGACACAGGAGAAAAACAGGGAAACCAUCAGACACUUACCAAAUGCCUUCGAUAGUUUUCCCCAAGAAUGCCAUUGACAAAUUCCUGGCCAUUCCUUGACUCAAGUCAUAAACGUUCAAGCUGACCUUGUGACCUUCCUGAAACCAGUAAGAAAAUACAAUUGAAUGUAUACUAAUAAGCUACAACAAUUUAUUAACACAAACACAAUGUGAACAAGACCAUGAUAUAUAUGUACUGCACCAGAAAAUUAUGCGAUAGAACUUACCUCAGCCAUCCUUAAUAUAUAAAUAUGCAACUGCUAGUCUGCCCUCUGUAAACUCUGUAAUGUAUCUGAGGUAAAAUUAAAGAAAAACCGCAUCAGAUCCACAUAUAUUUGGACACAAAGUGGGAUGUUCAUAGCCUAGAACAUGACCUAUAAGAAAUUCUUUAAAACCACACAUUCGGGUUACGCAAUCAUAGAAGUACAGAAACUACAACUACUUAAGUACAGAAACUAUAGAGUAUAAUCUUAUAAAGAAUGCAUCACUAUACCAUUUAAGUACAUAAACUACAACUACUUAAGUACAAAAACUACAUAAUCUUACAAAAAAUGCAUCACUACACCACAAAUUACAGUCAUCAAUUACCAGGGUGACAACAUUCGACAGAAUUCCAUGACUACGCAAGUGCCUGAACUAAUCCUACAAUCACUACUCUAAACAACAUUGCUACAAACUCAAGAUAUAGUUGCAUAAUGUACAUAUGUACCCAAUAUACAACGAGGUAUUUAAAUUAAUAGCCAAGAUCAAAAUCUUUAUACAACAACAUUGACAACACAACACAUCACAUAGAAAAAACCUCAAAACAAAGUCAAAAAAGCCCUAAUUAUCAAGAAUUCACCAUCAAGAUUCAAUCUCUACACUAAAUAAAGCAUACCCACAAAUCAAAACAUGAAUUCACGGUAAACCCACUACUAAAAUCAAGAAAAUAAUCAUAAAGUCCAAUCUUUACACAUAAAACAUAAAAAAAAACUCAAAUUUUCAAAAAUUAAAUAUAAAUUUACAGCUAAAGAUCAUAGAUUGCAUACCUCAAGAACUAAAAUGGGUGCUUAAAUUGGUCAGCGGAGAAAACAAAGAAUCAAUGUGCUUAAAUUUGUAUGUAUAUGUUGUAUGUAUAGGCGUGUGAGUAUAUAUAGACCUGGGCUGAAAGAGCUUGGAGGGUGGAAGACUUGGGCCGCAGCUCUUCUAUGACUUUCUAGAAUGUGCCAUCCAAUAGGAUUUUGACACGUGGACAUGUGCGAAUUGUUAAUUAGUUUCUAGUUGGCUGGUCUGAAUUUUAUAUUUUUUGAGACUUGAGGAAAAAGAUUUGAAUUUAUGAGUAGUUUGAGGACUAUUUUGAGAAAUUAUCGAGAAAUGGGUAAAUUGCUAGUAAUUGCUAGUUAUAUGGCUUAUUUUGUAUUUUUUUUUUAUAUGUCACUUUUAACUUAAGCACAUAUGUGGGCUGAUCGGAUAAUAAAUAUUAUUAUUUUUAGUUGUAAUUUUUUGUGUAUUAAAAUUUUGAUUACAUAUUUUUAUUCAAAAAAAGAAAAUUUCAAAUAUAGUACUUUAACUACAUGGUCAAAACACUUAAAAGCGUGUGUCAAAAAAUCAAAUGUUAGAUAUUAAAAAACAGAGCGAGUAGUAAAUAUCAAAUAUAUCAAGAUUUAUUUAUAAAUAAAAAUAGUUAUAAAAUAAUUAAUUUUGAUUAUUCAAUCGAUAAAUUAAUCAACUAAACCUCGUUGAGUCUUUUCCGAGGAGUACUCAUUUUUUACUAAACUCAUGCACAGGUAUUGUUGUUAUUGAAAAUUUAUAAGAUUGUAUAUUUUUUAUAUAGUUAAUAAAAUGAAAUAAUAAAAUUUUAAUUAAUUUUCUAUACUAUUGAACUGUAUUCGAAUAUAGUUUAGUAUUUUAAAAGAAUUUAGGAGUUGGAGUUAUUAUAAUUUGUUGUAUUUUGAACCGUACUGGAAAAUGCGAACAAGGGGUGAUUGAGAUAUUAUUAUGCGCUCUAUUAAUUAUAUAGUUGAUUUUGUAUUCACUUGAAGAAUGGAAUAAAGACGUAAUGUAAUAAAAUAUUCAUGAACUAUAUUUGCGGAGAAAAGAAAGUGAGGAUUGAGGAGAGAAUCAUGAAAAAAUAUAAAGAUAAUCUUUUUAAGAAAAAAAGAAAGAAAUAUAUCGUGAAUGGAACAUGUUUUUAAAAUUUGUUAGUAUUUGGUUAAAUUUUUAGUGUAAAAUGUCUUGAAACGUAUGUUACAAGAGCAAGUAUAAUAGAUUAGCUAUUAACUUUCUAGAUUUAAAUUUUAGAAAUUUGAUACAAAAUGAUGGUCCUAUUUUACUAUAUCUUCCCCAUAUGACUAUCUAAAUUCAUACUUAAGAAAUUUGCUGAAAUUAAAAUCCCGUUAAUCUAGAAAUUAGAAAUUAUUUUAUUAACUUAUUUUACUAUGUCCUCACCAUCUAGAUAAUAUCAUCAUGAUGUCAUCUUAAUAUUAACCCCUAUUCAUCAUGAUAUCACCCCACUCUAAAGUCGAAAUCACUAAACCUAUUUUUUAUAUAAAAGAAAAAUCAAAUCUAUUUAUUUAGAAAAAAAAAAAUCAAAUCUAUUCUAAAUUAGGGUUCAUUGUUAAAAACUGAAUGAGAGAUUUUGGUGGUUUAUUGAGGACAGGUCUUGUUAAGACUGUUUAAUUUUAUUUUGUUUGAAAAAGGUCUUCAAAAAUUUGUUUGGACGAUACAACCUGACAUUUCUUCUCCAACUCAUGUGUUUUGCUAGAUUGAAUUUGUUUCUACACUUGAACAUAUGAUUUGUUGUUGAUAUCACAUACUUUAUAAAUCGCGGCUAAAAAAAUAAUAAGCAAUUCCAUGUUGAUAUGUUGAAUACUCAUAUUAAUCAAAAAAAUUAUUUACAUAUAAAUCUAACAAUAAAAAUAAUAUAAUACAGUUAAUCAAAUAAAAAAACGUAAUGAAAAAAUUACAAGUGAAAUUACAUUAUUAUUAUUAUUAUUUAUAAUUAAAAAAAGAAUAUGGUCCAGUUUAGUAACACGGAAGAGAAUAGUAAUGUAUAAAAAAAAAUGGUUGCCGCCAUGAUCAUGUAGCGAAAAAUAUUUUGUGCUAAUAUUACUCAUCAGAGAUAUUGAUAAUUACUUAUUAUCCAACUAAAUCAAAAAGUUUUUAACAAACAAAAUCAUUCAUCCAAAAAUUAAGAGACUGAUCAUCCAGAAGUUCCAACGAUAAUUGUUCAGAUUUAACAAACGACUCCUUAGUCUCUAUUAGAAUAAGUCAAAAUAUAAUAUCACCAUCCAUCAAAAAAUUAGAAAUUGUUUUACAAAUUACAAAAUGUCUCCCCAUCUUGCACAAUUACCGCCAUAAAAUUAUAAUUUGACCCCCUUUUUCUACGCAAUGCCCAUCCAUUAUCAUUGCAUCAUUCAUUUCUCAUAUAUCUCACUUGGACGCAUAUUGUACCGUCAUUUUCCUUCAUUAUAUGCAAAUUGAUCAUUGGAAUAUAAAAGAACAUAUAUAAAGUCAUGUAUCAAAAAAUGCAUCAAUUGACAAGAAAAAUCAAAUUGAAAACGGAAGGGAUUAUGUAAGAUAAUGUGUAGUAGGUUAUAUUUUAAUUACGUUUGAUGACGUAUAGGGAUCAUUAAAUUAAAUUCAUUUAAUGGUCAGGAUUAAGUAUGUAUUUUGUAGUUUUUAUUCUAAUUUGAUUUGAUUUGUAUCGAGCAAAUACAUACAUACGUACACACACGUACAUACAUACAUACAUAUACACACAAACACACACACGUAUGUGUUUUAAAAUAGAUUUAAAUAUGAUGAGUUCAAAAAUUAUGCGUAAAUUAUAAUAUUAAAAUAUAUUUUAAAUUGAAAAUUGUUGACCCAUUAAAUAUAUUUUAAAACAAAACAUCCAUUAAUUAAUUGAUCAAAAUAUCAAUUGUUUGACCAAUCGACUAACUAAGAUAUAAUAUUGUGUUUUCAAUUAGUAUAUUAUCAGCGAGCUCUUAUAAAUUUCUUGUGACGAUAUUAAUAUUUAUUAACUAAUCUCAUUAUUAAGUAUAUUUAGGUAUACAUGAUCUAAUAAUAACUUCAUAGAUUUUGAAGAUCCAUCUCGAUCAUGAAAACAUGAAAGAAAACCCUUUCAAUUUUUAAAAAUAUUUUUUAUUCGAGAUACAAAGUCAAUCUUUACCAAUUAUGACAUGUCUUACUUUUUUUCUAGUUUCUGCUAUAUCAAAAAAAAAAAUGAUAUACAUCAACUAAACAUAAUAAAAAAAUCAUGCGAUACUCGAAUUCGAAUAUGAGAGAAUUUCAAUCUAGUCAUGAAAAAUGUUUAAUUCUUUUUUUCACUAUUUAUCUGAAUUCAAGUAUUUUUUUUUUUUUUUAAAAUUUUGGAUUCUUUUUUUUUUUUUAUCAAANGCGAUACUCGAAUUCGAAUAUGAGAGAAUUUCAAUCUAGUCAUGAAAAAUGUUUAAUUCUUUUUUUCACUAUUUAUCUGAAUUCAAGUAUUUUUUUUUUUUUUUAAAAUUUUGGAUUCUUUUUUUUUUUUUAUCAAAAACAUAAGUUAACCUUUUCCCGCGAUUUGGACAAAUUUGAUUCCUUUUUAGUGGCCUCCACCUCCCUCGUUCCCGCCCCCGCCAAAAAAAUUAAGUGGACAAAUUUGAUGUAUGUAUAUAUGUAUGUAUUAUUUGAACCUAAUAAGAUAUCUCGAACUUUCUUUAUCAAUUAUGUGAUUCUCAAGUUUAAACACGAGAACUCGUCCACUCUUCAAGUAACUAACUAAUAGAGCAGAUGAUUAUGUGUUCAUUAUUGCCUAAAUUUAUAUAUAUAUAUAUAUAUAUUCAUCCUUUAUGAAGUUCUUGAUAGAUUCAAAACAUAAUUUUUUUUUAUGCAUGUAAAAGUUAGUCUUCUCUUUCAAUUGUGGUCUAUCUCGAUUCCUUUUUGGUUAUAAUUUAGAUUUGAUCUAUAACAACUGAUCAUUAUAGCAAAUUCGAAUCUCUCGUUAAAACAGAAGAAAUUUAUCAUCCAAGUCACGGAGCAUAUGAUUUCGCUAUUCAUUUGUUGACUAAAUGUAUGUCUGUAUUCAUCGUUUUCAUGUUCUUGACAGAUUUUUAAUAACUUUUUUAAUAUAUGUAAAAGUCAAUCCUCUUUUUAAAUAACAAUCAAUCUCGAUUCUUUUUUCAAUUAUAAUCAGAUUUGAUCAAUAACAGAUGGACAUCACAACAAAUUUGAGUUCCUCAUGAAUCAUAUGAUUUCUUUUAUCAGAAAAAUUCAUUUCUGAGUUAUCAAUGAUAUAAUAUUCUUUCGAUAAUCAUCAAAAUACAAAUAUAUUUACUCAUCAUUUCCGACAUCAAACUUUUCGACGGUCAUCAAAAUACAAGUAUAUUUACUCAUCAUUUCCGACAUCAAAUCAACUACUGAUUUUAAAGUCAAUCCUACUGCAUUCAACUUUCAAGCAAUUACACAAACCAUAUUCAGUCAAAAAACACAUAACCAUAACUUUCGGAUUUCACUAAUCCGGUAAAUAUCAUUGUAAAACAUACCAAAUACGCUUGAUCACAUACCUUAUUCACCCAAAAUGAUUUUACUUCUGAAAUCAGAUCUUACAAAACGGGCCUACAAUCAUAUUCUAACACACAACACCGCGUCCACGCUGGGCAAACCCGGAGCCCAAACUGCUGUUUCUGCUGUCCCCAGUAUAUUAUACACACACACUAUACAUACAGUCACAUACACAAGCUCUGUCAUACACCUUGAUAUUUUCUCCUCUUCGUCAAGCACUUCACUUCAACUCAAUUUCCCUUAAAAACCCAUUUUUCUCAACUUCAUGUAAGUUUAAUCUUGUUCUUGAUCAUGAUCAUGUGCAUUCUUUGUGUUAAUCUUGAUUAAUUUGGCUGUUGGUACUUUAAGCUUCAAGAUUGUUUUUUUUUUUUUGAUUUUUUUUUUGUGUGUGAAGAAUUUGAAUUAGUGAAAGAAUUGUGAGAAUUAUGUGGGUUUAAGAUGGUAAGAUUAUUUAUUUAUUUAUUUGGGUUUUUGGGUUUUGAGUUGAUUAAUUUGAUAAAGUUUUGAUUUUUAAUUGGUGGGGUUUUGCUGUGGAUUAGUGUUUUUGAUGGGGGAUCUUUGUUUGAUUGGAAAUGCAGGGUUUUGAUUGUUUGGGGUUUUUCAGGUGAAUUUUGUUGUAAAGAUUGAUUUUUUAUGCAGUUUGCAGGUUUUGAUUGGUAUCAGGACUGUAUUGACUUUUUUGGUGUUGGGAAUUGAAGCCAAUCAUGGCACAGAGUAAUUGGGAAGCUGAUAAGAUGUAUGCUCUCUGAUUUAUAUGUCUGAAUUCCCCCCCCCCCCCCCCCCCCCCCCCCCCUCUCCCUCCAUGUGUUGUGUGUGUGUGGUGGUUUGUAUGUGUAUCUGGUGUGUGUGUUGUGGUGUGUGGUGUCUUGGGAGUUGGGAGUGUGUGUAUGUGUUGUGUGUGUGUGUGAGCGAGAGAGAGAGAGAGAUGUAUGUAUAUGAAUUAUUUCAUGUGUGUUUGUUAAAAGUGGAUAUCUUGAUUUUUAAAGUGAUGGUUUUUGAUAUUUUUUUUGGUGUUUAGGCUUGAUGUUUAUAUAUACGAUUAUUUACUGAAAAGAAAACUACAUUCAUCGGCGAAAGCUUUUAUGGCCGAGGGGAAGGUUGCUAAUGACCCCGUAGGUAAUGCAUUUAGUGAUCGAAUUGAAUUUUUGUUGACUUUGUUUUUCUGAGUUGCUCCUGAAUAAUAAAUUUUAAUUAUGCAGCUAUCGAUGCGCCUGGGGGAUUUCUCUUUGAGUGGUGGUCUGUUUUCUGGGACAUUUUCAUUGCAAGAACUAAUGACAAGCAUUCGGAGGCUGCUGCGUCUUACAUUGAGGUGUUUACAGAUUCUGAAAUGAUAUUUUUGCCAUUGUUUUGGGAUAUUGUUAUACAAUUGAGUUAUUGGGAUUUUUUCUUAGAAAGGAAGGUGUAUUUUGAAUUUUUAUAUGAUUAACAUUGUGCUAUGUUUUGUGAUUUUGUUUAAUGACUUUUUAGACACAACAAAUCAAAGUAAGAGAGCACCAACAGCAGUUGCAACUUAUGCAGCAACGGAAUGCACAAUUGCAACGAAGGGAUCCUGGUCAUUCAUCCCUUGGGGGCCCAGUAAAUACUAUGAAUUCUGAAGGAAUGAUGGGACAACCAUCAGCCAGUGUCUUGGCUAUGAAAAUGUAUGAAGAGCGGAUGAAACAUCCUCAUUCGGUAGAUUCAGAAGCAUCACCUGCUCUAAUUGAUGCCAAUAAGAUGGCCCUGCUUAGAUCCGCAGCUAAUCACCAAGGGUAUAUUCUAUAAACUGUAUAUUGAUUAAGGAUAUAAAGGUUAAUAUAUUUGUUUCAUCGCGUUGUUUGUUAUUGAUUCAGCCAGUUGCUUCAAGGAAAUUCUGGGAACAUGUCUGGGUCUUUGCAGCAAAUGCGUCCCCAAAUGACCAAUGUAAGUAAUUAAAGUAUAUGCUCUUUCUAUCUAUGAUGAUAAUAUGCUUGCAGUAUUGCAAGUUUGUCUGUUUUUCUUGUUCAUUCACUUGUGACUAAUUGAUACUUUUAGGACAUGAAGACUGAAGUGAACUUGGGCAAUCAGAAAUCUUUGCCUUCACAAGCAUCAUCCAUAUAUGGACAAGCAAUCUUGCAGUCAAAGUCUGGUAUGCCAGGUGCGGGGAACACUACCAGAGCUAAUUUUUAUUAUAUGAGUUCCUUACCAAUUCUGCCAAAUAAAUAUUAUACUAUAUAAGAAGGAAUGUGUAAAUAUAUUCACUCAAUCACAUUGCUUUUUCUUCAGGAUUAAAUCAAGGAGUCACCGGUCUUCCACUGAAGGGUUGGCCUCUUACGGUGAGCCAUACAUAUUUUUGUUAAGUGCAGCAUUGUUUUAUUCUUUCACAAAAUAGCAUUAGCGUGUAUGCUUGACCAUUCGUUAUAAUUCAGGGAAUUGAUCAACUACGGCCGAAUUCAGGUCUACAAGUACAGCGGCCGAAUCUACAGAACCAGAAUCAAUUUCUCUUGGCGUCACCAAACCAACAGGCGUUAGCCCAAGCUCAGGCACAAGGGAGUCUUGGAAACUCACCUAACUACGGGUUUGGUGGAUUACCACGGGGUGGAUUAAAUGUAAAAGAUGCUCAGCAGGCAAGAAAUGAUGGAUCUAUAUGUUCACCAAAGGUUAAAAAACAAAAUGUUAUAGACAUCGCUAAGUAAUAUAAAUAUCGCAUCCACUGAUAGAUGCAAUGUGUGCAUUUUAUUACCCCUGUUUUUUUGUAAUGAGCUUUAAGAUCAACUGGUAGAUUGAAAGGUGCAUGCACACGGUGAUAUAAGUUGCAUAUGAAUUUUUUCAUAUUCAGAGGGAAAUUAACGGAUUGCUCAAAGCGUGUAUAUAUUAGCUUUUUUCCUUUUAUAUUCUUUUACCUGCGUAUACCAAUGCCUUCUGCAAUUUGAGCCUCAAUUUGAGCCUGAGACAUGUGAUAUGUCUGUCCCGUAUUUGCUGCUUAACUAUGUGCAUACACUGCUUCAACUUGUUUAGAAAACAUGCCAAGAAUGAGAGAAUCACUGCAUUGUAGUAGCUAAAUAUCUGAUUCAGUUUUUUAUGCAUCUCAGAUGAUGACUCAAAUGCAACAAUCAUCCUCUCAGCAUGACCAGUUAUCGCAACAGCAACUGCAACAGCAGGUUUGAUCUCUAUCCUAUAUCUCUAGAAGAAAUUUUAAGAGCCAUAAUUAAGAUGUACAUAUACUGGUAAAACUUUCCAGUCCCCUACCAUACAAGUUGUGAUGAGGCACAAUUUUCAACUAUGGCACUUGUAUGUUCUCCCCUCUGUUAUUUGCUUUUGUGGUAUAUCUGUUAACACUUUAAAUUGUUAUCACCGUGCAGAAUAAUAAUCGAAAAAGGAAACAACACUCGUCUUCUGGACCAGCUAAUAGUACUGGUACGGGAAAUACUGUAGGUCCUUCACCCAACUCCCCAGCAUCAACUCAUACACCUGGUGAUGGGGUUAAUACUGCUAGUAGUCUGCAGCAUGUAAGCAGUGGACAAAAAGGGUUGAUGAUGUAUGGUUCAGAAACAGCAGGUCUCACAUCACCUGCAAAUCAGUUGGUAGGUCCUAAUAUUUUUCACAGACAUACUCUUCAAUCUGUAUGCUGGUAUUAUUUUGCAUCUUAGAAAAUAUUACUUAUUUAAACUAUACCAAUGUUGAAUGAACUCCUAAAUUUACUGUUCUUUGCUUUCUUUAACUCAAUUAAUUGAUGAAAUAUGCAUUAUUUUCUUACUAUAUGUGUGCGCAUAGAGUAUCAAGCUUGUGAUGAUAUGUCCAAAAAAGGGUAAAGUUUAUGAACGACUUGAUACGAAACAUUGCCUUGAUGCACAAAGAACAUUUCAUAUCGCAGGAUGACUUGGAACAUUUUGGAGAUGUGGGAGACGUUGACUCCUUUUUGUCAAAUGAUGGUGAAGAUGGCCGAACUUUAUACGGCACGAUUAAACAAAAUCUUACUGAACAUAAGACAGAGUCUUCUAAAGGUAAUGUACCUUGUUGGUUAUGUUUUCUCAAAGUUCAGGGUUUUGCACAGAACUGUUGACUCUAUGACUUUCAUGGCCUAUAUAUCAGGAUUCUCUUUCGGAGAAGUUGGUUGUAUACGGACCAGAAAUAAAAUCACAUGCUGCCAUUUCUCUUCAGAUGGCAAGCUGUUAGCUAGUGCCGGANUAACCAAAAACACUGCAAUGUUUUAAACCAUAUUGUCUCUUCUUAUAACAGAGUAAUGGCGGACGAGAGUAUGUGUAUAUUAAUUAGUGCUGAUCAUUUGACAGGCUGUUAUUUGGAACAUGGAUACCUUGAAAACAGAGAGCACUCCUGAAGAGCAUACGAACUUGAUUUCAGAUGUUCGUUUCAGGCCUAAUUCAACUCAACUGCUGACAACUUCAUUUGACAAUUCUGUAAGAUUGUGGGAUGCAGCUAAUGUAAUUAUCUAAACUCAGUUGUGUAUACUUGUUUUUUAUUCUGAAUAGGACUCGGCCUUUGUACCGUGUGACUUAACGUUUUAGUAUAUCGCCUCUGACUUGUCCUUGCAGCCAAGCUACUGUCUGCAUGCUUAUACUGGGCACCCUUCUCAGGUCAUGUCCCUAGACUUUCAUCCAAAGAAGAAUGACAUGUUCUGUUUUUGUGAUGGUAACAAUGAAAUUCGUUACUGGAACAUUAAUCCAUUUACGUGUACUCGAGUUUCAAAGGUUUGUUCAUGAAACUUGUAUACCUUUUGUCUCCCAAACAAAUGUGAUUUUGUUAAAUUGUAACUUUUUAUCUUUCGUUGUCUAUAUAUUGCUCUUAUCAGCAAGGAGGUAGUUCACAAGUGAGAUUUCAACCAGUAAGUGGUCGCCUAUUAGCAGCAGCAUCAGAUAAAGUUGUGUCCCUCUUUGAUGUUGAAACUGACAUGCAAACACAUUCUUUCCAGGUCUGGCAUUUAAUGCUAUUUGUCAAGUGUUGCCAAAACUUCAUAUAUAUUGUUGGUUUGACCCUCUUGCAUAUCUUCUCAUGUGCUAAUCACAAAAUUGGGUUCCCACCCUUUUUUCUUAUCUUGGUGUCUUAUCAGGGACACAGCAGUGUGAUUAACUACCUAUGCUGGGAUCUAAAUGGUGAUUAUUUGGCUUCCGUUUGUGAAGAGUCUGUGAAAGUUUGGUCAUUGACCUCUGGCGAAUGCAUUCAUGAUUUUAGCUCAAACGGAAACCAGUUCCAUUCGUGUGCUUUUCAUCCAAGCUAUUCAGCUCUCUUGGUGAUUGGUGGAAUGACGGUAUUCAUCUGAUUGUCUUUGUUUCUUGACUUUGUUUUAAACAUUACACCAAGAUAUUUUGCUAUUAGUCCAGCAUUAUGGAUUAGUCUCUUGGAUAAUUAGGUUAUCGGGGGUUAUUUUUUUUCCCCAUACUUGUAUGAUCUGAAUUGCCAAGAACCUAGUUUAAACUUGCGAUGCUUCAAUCUGUGACUUGUUACUUCUAUUUUUGAAUUUGGAAAUAAGUGGACCAGUUAAAAUUGUCAAUAUUGGUACCUAAAGACAAUCGAUCAUUGUCUAGAUGUGUGACAAUUGACAUGUUGACCUUUAAAUACCACGAUAUAAUGUGUUUAAGUAUCAGUACUUUGCUAACACUAUAUUUUUGAACAUUCUGUGCAGUCCUUAGAGUUGUGGAAUAUGGCCGAGAACAAAAGAAUGACAGUGCCAGCACAUGAACAUAUGAUUGCUGCAUUAGCACAGUCCCCUGUUACAGGAAUGGUUGCUUCUGGAAGUCACGACAGUUCUGUGAAGUUAUGGAAAUAAUAUUUCUGGUAAAUUACACUGUUUGGAGCUGAGCAACGCUGGUAUCAACUGUAUUCUGAACCAUCAGAGCUGUCUCUUGAGGACAUUGUGUAAAAGUUUCUGAGUAUCUCUCUCAUAUUUAUAGAAUGUUUUGUUUUGUUGUGUCAAUGAUAGAAAUUAUACCUACAGCGUCAUUUUGGUUUAAAGAUAGCAGAUCGGAGAGGAACACUUAGUGAGCUCUCCGGAAGAUUAAGGAUUUUAGAUUCUUCUUAGCCAUCGAUAUUACAAUAACAGUAGAAAAGUAAUAGUACUGCUGAAUUUUAAUGCUAUAUUUCAUGUUGGAUAUUCAAUUUGUUUUUCUUGGUUAAAAAUGUUUUUUUUUUUUUUUUGUUUUAGUUGGGUAGAAUAUAGUAUAGUAACCUGUUUUUGAUUCCCGGUAUUUAUACAGAUACUGAUUACCCCAUCCCGCCAGGCGAGUGUUUUCUGUACACGAACUUGGGGGAUAAUGGCCUGCUACUGCAGACCCAUUGCAUUCUUUGCAAUCACAGCAUUAGUAUCGUUCGGUGAUGAUAAUCACAGCAUUAGUAUCGUUCGGUGAUGAUAGCUAUCAGUUGUUCAAAGAGCUGAGAUGUACCCAUGUACAUAUUCUUGAACCAAAAACGAUACUAAAGCGAAAAACUGAGAAUUUUAUUGUUCAAUCAGCAGAAUUAGUGCAUAUGAUUGUUCAAGAAAUGGCGUUCUUGAUACAAUCUGAUUACAUGACAUGCGGAAACGUGUGACAAAAUUAUUACAACCAAAUAAGCGCAACAGAGUUGCGUUGUGCUACUCUGGGAAAGAUUGUGCAGAUUCAUUUCUUGUACAACUCAACAACACCGUAUAAAUCUGCCCCGCAUAUAUACCUGGAGCUUGCAAACCCUGCUUCUUUUCCCAGCAUUUGAAAUUCUUUGGCAGUCCUCUCUUUUCCGCCAUGGGUUACAACCAUCAUUCGUAUAUCCACCUGAGACGUGUUCUUGGCAAUGACAUCAGUUUCCGGGAGCUCUGAAUGUAUCAUCUCUAUGAUAACCACUUUGCCGUAAUCUGGUAUGGCUUCAUAACACUUCUUCAAAAUCUUCACGCUUUCUUCGUCGGUCCAGUCAUGAAGUACCCUCUGCAUAAUUCACUCACUGAGAGCUAGGAAGUAGAAUUUGACUAGUUAGAACUUUAAACCAUUGCUUUGCACUUACCUGAAGCACCACAGCAUCUCCUUUAGGCACAGAUACAAACAUAUCUCCUCCGACAUGAUCAAUACCUGACAGAUUUAUAGAUUUAGAACGUAAUCUUAUAUGUCUCACUCGGAAGUAGGACGUCUGACACAUGCAUAAAAUGUACCUGGCAACUUAGGUGCAUCUUUAACCACAUGAGGCAAGUCGAAAUUGAUGCCCUUGACAUGAGGGUUCAGAGAAACAAUGCAACUUAGAGUUGCGCCAUGAGCACCCCCAACAUCCACCACUUGUUUCACUCCCUCGAAUCCUUUGUACAUCUUUAGAAGAAUGUCCAUGGAAGUAGCGAUAGAUUUAUCCAUUGCUUCGCUCAAGAGACUCGCGAGAUGUUUAUCUUUCUCUAGGUACUCAAACACAUUGGCUCCGUCAUGAGAUAGAUUAAACGGAAUCCCUCCAUCAAGGAUUGAAUCUUUGAGUUUAUACCUGCAAGACGUCGUAAAUCACUGUAAGGACUGAUUUAUGAAUAAAAUUAGGAGAGGAUUCGAACUAACCAACAAUUCUGCAUUUCUCUGUGAUGAAUGAAUUGAUGAUAAGGAACCAGACAAGGUCCAGCCACACCCUGAACAAAAUACCGAGAGAUCGGUGUCAGGCCAUAGGCCCUUGUCAGAAGAGCAUUGCCACUAUCCUUCACAAGCUUGCAUUUAACGAUAUCGUGGCUAGCCAGCAAGCGAAGCAUACGAUCAAGCAUUUCCGAGGCCUCAGGGUUCUUCGUGGGAAGGCUGGCAGCGAUUUCAUCAGGAUGCAGGUAGCCAUUGUAGCCAGCUUUCUGCGCAACAAUGUCAAAGACACUGAGCUCAAAGAGGGCACUUAAGACCCCGUGAACCGUCGAAGAAUUCACUAUCUGCAUUGCAGUCAAGAAGGCUUCUUGAUCAUGUGAUGCCAUGGCUCUGUUUUCUUGUCUUUGGUAAGUCCUUUGGAGGUGCUUAUUUAUAGAGUUAGAUCUCGAAUUGUUGCAUGGCCAGUUGAUGCAUUGUUGACAUUGAAUGUGGAAGAUUUUAAUAAUUUGAAACAGAUGAUUUAACAGGGUAGGUGAGUGCAAUAGUGCAUGUAGUUUGUGUUACAUUCAAUGUUGCGAAAAGCGUAAAUUGGUUUCAAAGCGACGAAAGCAUCUUCUAGCGUUUAAGCAAUAAAGCAGACGCUUAAGAGUAAUUUUAAGCGGAUCAAUAAAAUAUAAAUUAAAUUUUUAGUUAUAAUAUUAAUAUAUUUAAAGAUGAUAUAUGUUGUGACAAGAAUUUAAAUUUUUAAUAUUUUGGAUAAAAUAUAUAUUUUAAUUUUUUAAAUAUAAUUAUAGUUAUAUUAUAAAAAAAAUUAAUAUUUUAAAAUUAAAAAAUUAGCAAGUCGAUAUCAUUUUGACCGCUUAAAGACCGCUUAAUCUUCAAAAACGCUUAAUCUUCCUCUUAGUACAAAAUCGAAACGCUUUAUGACCGAUUCCGUUUAGACGGCCACUUAAUGCGCUUUUUACGAUACUGGUUACAUUUGGCUGGAAGGAUUAAAAAAAAUUGUCCUGUGUUGUUGGUAAGCUUUUAGAUAAUGUUGAAAUGUGCUUCAACGGUAGUACUUAGUACACGAACGUGGAAUUGCUCGUCAUUUAAAUAUUUGAUGGCCGUAGUAGGUGUUAGUUUGGAGUAUUGUAAAUCCGACUUCGUAUGUGUUUGGCUGAGAGUUUAAGGUGACUCAUUACUUAUGGUGAUUUGAUGUGAUAAUCUCGGACUUUAAGAUCUAUGUUUAGAUUAUUUUGAUUUAUUAAUGAAUUAUGAGUUAUUAAAAAUAUAAUAAUAAAAAUAAAAAUGAUUUACGAAUAAUUUAUGUUUUAUGAGUAAUUUUAUCAAAAAAAUCAAAAGAUUAAGUUACUGAAAAAAUUUCUGACUUUUCAGCUUAAAGUCGAAAAUGACGUUAAAAUACAGGUUUUAAGCCCAUACAAACAUGCUCUUGACUGAUAUAACAAUUAUUUAAAGAUUCAAAUAAUAGAGAUCAUCAAAUUUUAUUAAAUAUCAUGAUAUUUAAAUUAUUAAAUUUAUUAAUAUUUUCUGGAAAAAGAUAUAUGAUGUUUGAUUAGAUUUUGAAAAUUGAAUCGACGUAGAAUUAUAAUAAUUAAUAGAUUAAAUUGGUAACUUUUGAAUAAUGAUUUAGAAUUACAACAUAAACGGUGGAAUUUAAGUGGGCUGAUUUAUUUAUCUUCAUAGUUUGUAUUGAAUAUGGCAAAACAUGAUUGAAUAUUUAUAUUUAAUACAUUUUUGUAUAACUUAGUUUUUGUAAGAAUUACAUGGUAGAUAAACGUAUUAUGGUAAAGCGGAUUAUGGCCAGAUAUAAGUAAAUAUAUUAUGAGGUAAUUGUAAUCUGGACCUCCUAACUUUUGUUCAUAAAAAUAUCAUUUUUGAAUGAAAGUUAGGGGUCCGAAUUGCAAUUAUCUCAUAUAUUAUUUUUAAUAUAUCUUUUGAGCGUCUAUUCAUGAAGACGGCGACUAAUUUUUUGUAUUUAUUUGACUUUAUUUAUAAAAUAUCAUGUGAUUCUUUUAAUAUUCAAUUAAAUCUUUUCAUCUUGAAAAAAUCGUGAUUUUUUCAGGAAAUACAAAAGAAAAUGGAUCAUAUAAUGUUUUUGGCAGGUGUGAUGGACGCUAGAUAAAGGCUGCGAUGAUUUGCUUUGUUCAUUUUCACCCACCACAACUGACAAAAUAUUUGCCAAUUAGGUUCAAAAGUGGGUCUCAGUCUCGAUUUGAUUAUUCCUGUACUUUCGACGACAUCAGGUUUUUUGCGUUAAUUUUUGACACGUAUUUUAAAGUUUCCAUAAAAUAUACUUAUAUUAUAUAUUUAUUUUAAAAAAAAUGUUGAAAAAAAAUUUGACGUUUAAACUUUUAUUCAAAAAAAAAUUAUAAAAAUAUUAUUGAAUUAUAUUUUAUAAGAACCUCAAAAUACGUGCAAACAGUGAACGUAAAUAUCCUGGUGGGACGGAGGGAGUAUCUUCUAUUUAAUUUUAUACAUUUUUUCUUCUACUA
rnacentral:lncRNA from 1 species